rnacentral:lncRNA from 1 species
AAAAGCAUACAGUCAGAAUUCCAAGAAAUUGCAAUAUAGAAUUUUCUGGCAUCAAUCUCACAAUUACAGGAUAAAAAUACAUGGCAAGUAUAAAACCAUGAACAGGCAUUAUUAGCUCAGUUUGCGUUGUAGAUGAACCCUCCAAAUCCAUUGGUCUUCCAUUCGGCUGACCUGAUGACCUAAAUGGACUAUCAUGCUCAAACCCUUCAUAAUCAACAAAACUUGAAUUGCAAACUGUUGUUUGUCUGAUUAGGUAUACCAUGUAAUAUACACAACGGAAUCCAGGUAAUAACUAACCGUGCUACAAAUGUCAAUGACAAAUAAAGUUCCUAGUUUUUUCAAAAAACCGCCUAGGCAGUGCGCACCCCGCCACACAAGGCCUCAUAGUCCAGUUAAUUUGCUCACGCUGUUGCCAGCCAAAGAACCAUGAAGAGGAAAAGCUGCAAGGAGCCUUUGCCAGGUUAGUCAGGAAGGGCUUCAAUAGAGUGUAACAUCUCAGUAGCUCAAUUCAUGUACCCCUAGCUGUGCAUGUAAGAAGAAAUGCUCUUCUGAAUAAAGUAUUGAUACCAGAUCUACUGUUGUUUCUUCAGAACUUGUUAGGAAAGAUUACUAGCAGGUAAGUUAGACGCAUAUACAUACUACUAUAGGAAAUUGAACAGCUCCUUACAUAAUCGGUGCAACUUCUUAUACAAACAAGUUUCCCUCCCGGCAAUAGAUAGACAUCAAUAUUCAGACACCUGAGGGUGCUGAAUGUUAGAAACUUUACUUCCUCCCAACGUAAGCUCCCAGUUUAGACACAUUAGGAUUCCCAAAUGAUAGCUCAGAUGACCCCGUAACAAACAUGAGACUUCCAGGGGCCCAUUUUAUGACAGGAGGCUCUGUAUGAAAACUCAUCCAACUGCUCUGUAUGAAAACUCAUCCAACUAACAACCCUGACAAGAAAAAUAAACAAAACCAAACAAUGUUUAUAUAAUAACAAUACCAACAUCAAAAGAAUAUAGUCUUUGGAUACAGAACACAUUAUGCAAACUGGUGCAUAAGUUGAAUGCCCAAAUGUAGAUUCAAAAGCAUUGUUGGUUUGCCUAGAAGACAAUGAAUGCUAUGACUGGGGUCAGUGUAAGGGAAAUAACAUCCCUUUGAAUUCUAAGCAUUCAAAAGGCAUUAGAAUCAAGGAAUUUUGCUUAUCAUACCCCUUUCCCGCUCCGUACGCUCCAAGCAUAUCCACUACCAUCAUCAGAACCUUCCAAAACCAAGAAAGUAAAAUUAGCAUAAAGAGUGCAACUGUUGCGUAAAUUAGCAAGUGUACUAGUCGGCACAAGUAAUAUAAUGUAGAGUAGAGUAUUGUCCCACAGAGAUUGUAUAUCCUAUUAGUUACCGAAAUUAUUCUAAUCCUAAUUUAUUUGAACAAUCAAAUAAGCGAAUUUAAAUUGAAAAUUAAAAUAACUAAAAAUCAAAUAAAGAUACAAGCAGUAAUAGAAAUCACCAAGAGAUUAAAACACUAGGACAUUCGAUUUCACCAUAACCAAUCCAAUUUAAUCCUCUAUCUAUGCUAUUAAAGUUUAUUACCCAUGCUGACAGUAAAUUUCCUUAAUUUAUUCAAUAUCCUCUCUCGAGUAAUAUAAAAAAUAUCUCCACAUAUCAACCCACUAUAUUUCUAUGUGAAUUUAAAUAUGCAAAGAUUCAUUAAGUUCUAUGGAAAUUCUUAGACAAAACUGCACGAAUCACGUUGGCACAUCUUUGUCUUUCGUUCAAUUCAUGACAUCCAUUACACAGAGCAAAAAUACAUAAAUCUCAUCUCGGUCUCAUUAUGUAUCCUCAAAUCAUUCAAAUAUUGGCCAUAUAUUUAAAAGCAUUAAGCACAAUAAUGAACACUCAAUCAUGGAAUAAUUAAUUAAAAAUAACAUAGAUUUAUGGAAUUAAAUCUUCAUAGUUAGGCUACAUCGUAGCCCUAGUAAAAUAAAUUAGUUCAUGGAAAUAUAAAGAGAAUUCAUUAAUUUAAUCAGAAACAUUCAAGCAAGAUAAUAGAGAAGAGGAAAAGAAAAACUUAAGAAUUAAUGCGUCUUCCUCCUGCUCCAAAUUAUUCCUGCUACUCUCGGUUUUGCUCAAAACUUGCGGCUGCUGCUCUUCUCUUUAUUUUCUCUUGGCUGCCAUCUUCUCCUUGUGCGGCUGCCUUUCUUCCCUUUUAUAAUGUUGUGGUUUCUUCCAAAUCCUUAAAGGAAAAGGAUUGCAAAUCCAGCCCACGAAUCCUUAAAUGAAAAUAAUUAAAAACAAAAGCCCAACCACUUAUUUCAUUCCUAAGCCAAUCAGAAUUAAAAGCAAAAGCCCUUCCACGUGUUGCAUGCCAUAUUCUCUUUGUAAAUGAAUUCUUCAAUGCUUCCUCACUUGCUGCCAUAUUUGUGAACCAAAUAUUCAAUGCUUCCUCCAUGUGUUGCAUGCAUGCUUAAUGAUUAAUUAAAUUAAAUCCUUUGUGAUUUGUUCCAAUUAAUUCUUCUUUAAUCCCGUAUUGUACCUAAAAUAAGAAAAUAUAAAAAAUAAAAAUAAAAUUAACAUAAUAAAACAUAAAAUUAAGUUAUGAAAGCAUUAAAAUAAUAGAUAAAUUAUGAGCACAUCAAAUACCCCCAAACUUAACAUUUUGCUAGUCCUCGAGCAAAAAUUAAAAUAAAAACUACGAAUAGAAAAUCCUAACGAAACCACUUUCGCAGGUGAUCGCGAUUACAUUUAGCGUAUGCAACAAGCCUUUAAACCCCUAGGCGGCCCUAGUGGACGAGUUAUAGUCUCGUGAGGGUUUCCAGCGAUGAUACCCACAAACAUUAUCAAAAAUGCCUCAAAGAUUGCAUAAAGUAUAUAGCUCAAAGAAAAUUAAAAAUAUUAGCAAAGUUCUAACUUUAAUUCAAUGGUCAGCCUCAUCUCAUAUUGGAUUCUUGUGUUGUAUGUGAAUCAAUUCAAUCAAUACUCAUUCUCAAGAUCUUCAACAUCAACAGUCUUUGUCUCGAAUAAUAAACAGAGUAGGUCAAACUAACCUCAUCAUCUUGAUCUUUUUUUUUUUUUCUCAGGCAUAAAUUGCUUUUUUUUCUCUUUUUUUUUUUUUUCAUUUCUUUGUCCAUAGUCAGAAGCUUUCACUCUACCCCUUAAGGUAGCAUUCUUCUCAUGGUAGAUUAUCCUCUACAUAAUGGUGGUACAUAGGCCCAAAUUACUCAAGGAUAGCUUCACUCUUAAGGGUUGUAGGUAGCUAUUUCUGACUAUGGUGCCUGGGUAAACUUAAGUAAUAUAGAAUCAAGUCAAACAGUCAUUACUCAAUCUAAAAUUCUCAACUCAAGCUGUACCAAUCUCAAAUCUCAAGUCAAAAUUCUAAAAGAAUCGAUAUAAGUGCGCAAGAUAUUUAAAGAAUCUCAAUCAAGACGAAACUAAUACAAGAAUCAAGUAUAAACUAAAAUAAUAUUCAUCCCUUUCUAAGAACCAUAUUCAUUUUCAAUCAUAAACUCAUCAUAGGCAUUAAAAUCUUUUUUUUUUUUUUGGAAUAAAAUGAAAAGCAAAUAUUCCCACCCCCAAACUUAAAAUAAACAUUGUCCUCAAUGUAAAGAAAAAGAAAAGGAAAAGAAAAACUCCCCCGGUUUUGCACUUGAAGAUGGAAAGUUGUAGCUGAGUCGUUGAAAGGCAUGUGGAAAGUUGAUGUUCAUCGACCCCCAAACUCGUGCAAAAUCUAGAUAAAACAAAAUAAAAUAAGUAAAAGAAAAGAAAAAGAAUAUGAAAAAAAAAUUUGAUAAUAAUAAAGUUUAGAAAGCUUGGGUUGCCUCCCAAGAAGCGCUUAAUUUAUAGUCAUUAGCUUGACUGUCUCUGGAAAGAUUGUUCAAGGAGGCUCGUGGAUGCAAUGAGAUGAUAUAGAUGGACCUUGCACAAAGUUCUUGCAAUUAGGCCUCUUCCCACGAAAAUUAGGAGAUGAAUCUUCAUUAAUAGAUUGCUUAUGUAUUGUAUAAAUGUCAGGAGGGUCAGAUAAAUCUUUAUCCUUCAAUGUUUUGGCCAUUUUUUUAUCCAUGGUGUCUUCUUGAAAACAAUCUUUGAGUUCAAUUGGAUACUUGAUAGGUGUGUACACAUUGAAAAUGACUUGCUCAUUUUGAACUCUUAAAAUCAAUUUCCCUUCUUGAACAUCAAUCAAAGCUCUUCCUGUAGCUAAGAAUGGUAACUCUAUAUCUUCAGCCAUAUCCAAGACAAUAAAAUCUGCAGGGAAUAUAAACUUGUCAACUUUCACAAGCACAUCCUCAAUUAUGCCUCUUGGGUACUUUAUAGAUCUAUCUGCCAAUUGUAAGGUAACAGUUGUUGCCUUAGGUUCACCCAAACCUAAUUUCUUGAAAACAGAAAAAGGCAUCAAAUUAAUGCUUGCACCUAAAUCACACAAAGUUUUAUCAAAAUAACAAUUUCCAAUAGUGCAUGGAAUAUUAAAACUCCAUGGAUCUUUCAGCUUUGGUGGCAAUUUAUUUUGUAAGAUGGCGGUGCAAUCCUCAGUCAGCAUUACAGUUUCAUGCUCCUCAAGUUUCCUCUUGUUGGACAACAUUUCUUUCAUAAAUUUGGCAUAAAGCGGCAUUUGUUCCAAAGCAUCUGUAAAAGGAAUAUUAAUAUGCAAUUUCUUAAACACAUCAAGAAAUUUUAAAAAUUGCUUAUCUAUGUUAUUUUUUCGGAGACGCUGAGGAAAAGGGAUUGGAGGAACAUAGGCCUUGACUGGUGUUGCUAGUUUAGGUUGUGGUAUUUCUGAACUUGCUGCCUUUGAAACCUUAGUGGUGUCUUCAGUUUGUUCUUCAUCAACUUUCUUUGCUUCUUUUCGCGGCUCAUCAAGUUGUUUACCACUCCGAAGUAUAAUUGCAUUAACUUGCUCCUUUGGAUUUGUCUCGGUGUUGCUUGGCAGAGAGCCAUGUUGUCUACUGGAUAGCAAGUUUUCAAUCUGACCCACUUGUACCUCGAGGUUCCGAAUUGAUGCAGCUUGAUUUUGAAAAGUUGUCUCUGUUUUGGUCAUGAAUUGAGACAUGUUUGUUGUAAGCUGGGUAAGAGCAUCUUCUAAGUUUGACUUCUUUUCUUGUGGUUGGAACCCUGGAGGUGGUGCCAAUGUAUUCUGAGUGUUGCUCCAUGACAAAUUCGGAUGGUUUCUCCAGCCAGGAUUGUAGGUAUUAGAAUAUGGGUUAUGUUGCUGUCUCUGGAAGUUUGACACAUAAUGAGCUUGUUCAGCAGAUGACGACGCAAAAGGACUUCCAACUUGGCAGUUGACACCGGUAUGGUUCCCUCCGCAUAAUUCACAAACUUGAGUUUGAAUAGUACUGAUAUUUAGGUGUUCCAGCUUAUUAGAUAAAGCAGUCAUCUGUGCAGAUAAAGCAGUGACAACAUCAACAUUAUGGGCUCCUACAAUUUUCCUUGGCAUUGAUCGCUCUGAAGUCCACUGGUAAUUGUUGGAUGCCAUCUCCUCCAAUAAUUCAUAAGCUGCUUCUGGUGUUUUUCCCAUUAACGUUCCUCCUGCUGCAGCAUCAAUCAUUGUUCUGGUAUUGGAUCCCAAACCAUUGUAAAAUGUCUACACCUGAAGCCAAACUGGUAGACCAUGAUGUGGGCAUUUUCUUAUUAGGUCUUUGUAUCUCUCCCAUGCUUCAUAUAAUGAUUCCAUCUCGAACUGAGCAAAGGUUGUGAUGUCAUUCCUCAACUUGGUUGUUUUUGCUGGAGGAAAGUACUUUGCUAAAAACUUUUGCGCUAAACCAUCCCAUGUAGUGAUUGUUCCAGCAGGGAAUGAGUUCAACCACUCUUUUGCUUUAUCCCUCAAUGAAAAUGGAAAAAGCCUUAGCCUGAUAGCAUUGUCUGAAACACCAUUUUGCUUAAAUGUGUCACAAAUUUCCAAGAAAUUUGCAAUAUGAGCAUUUGGAUCAUCAUUUGGCAUUCCAGCAAAUUGAACUGAAGUCUGAAUCAUCUGGAUUAUGGCUGGCUUAAUUUCAAAAUUAUUGGCUUGAACGACAGGACGUGCAAUGCUUGAGCGAGCACCAUUAACUGUAGGUAUAGCAUAAUCUCUUAAGGGUUUUGCAUCCUCAUUUCCAUGUAAUGCUUCGUCAGCCAUGAUUAGUUGUUGCUCCUGUGAAGCUUCUCUCCUUUCUUUAUUAAGCUUUCUACACGUACGUUCAAUCUCUGGAUCAAAAGGCAAUAAAUUAAAACUUCUUGAGCGUCUCAUAAAAUUAAACAAGAAAAUAAAAAUUCAAAUAAAAACAAUAAAAAUAAAAUUCAAAUUAAACUAGGUUAGUUGGUAUCGAUACUAAUCCAAACAAUCCACGGCAACGGCGCCAAAAACCUGUUGCGUAAAUUAGCAAGUGUACUAGUCGGCACAAGUAAUAUAAUGUAGAGUAGAGUAUCGUCCCACAGAGAUUGUAUAUCCUAUUAGUUACCGAAAUUAUUCUAAUCCUAAUUUAUUUGAACAAUCAAAUAAGCGAAUUUAAAUUGAAAAUUAAAAUAACUAAAAAUCAAAUAAAGAUGCAAGCAGUAAUAAAAAUCACCAAGAGAUUAAAACACUAGGACAUUCGAUUUCACCAUAACCAAUCCAAUUUAAUCCUCUAUCUAUGCUAUUAAAGUUUAUUACCCAUGUUGACAGUAAAUUUCCCUAAUUUAUUCAAUAUCCUCUCUCGAGUAAUAUCAAAAAUAUCUCCACAUAUCAACCCACUAUAUCUCUAUGUGAAUUUAAAUAUGCAAAGAUUCAUUAAGUUCUAUGGAAAUUCUUAGACAAAACUGCACGAAUCACGUUGGCACAUCUCUGUCUUUCGUUCAAUUCAUGACAUCCAUUACACAGAGCAAAAAUACAUAAAUCUCAUCUCGGUCUCAUUAUGUAUCCUCAAAUCAUUCAAAUAUUGGCCAUAUAUUUAAAAGCAUUAAGCACAAUAAUGAACACUCAAUCAUGGAAUAAUUAAUUAAAAAUAACAUAGAUUUAUGGAAUUAAAGCUUCAUAGUUAGGCUACAUCGUAGCCCUAGUAAAAUAAAUUAGUUCAUGGAAAUAUAAAGAGAAUUCAUUAAUUUAAUCAGAAACAUUCAAGCAAGAUAAUAGAGAAGAGGAAAAGAAAAACUUAAGAAUUAAUGCGUCUUCCUCCUGCUCCAAAUUAUUCCUGCUACUCUCGGUUUUGCUCAAAACUUGCGGCUGCUGCUCUUCUCUUUAUUUUCUCUUGGCUGCCAUCUUCUCCUUGUGCGGCUGCCUUUCUUCCCUUUUAUAAUGUUGUGGUUUCUUCCAAAUCCUUAAGGGUAUGUUUGGCACGUGGUAUUGCAUUGUAUUAUCUUGUGGGCCCAGCAUUAGUUAAAAUAUACCUGUGUUUGGUGAUCAAAUGGAUUGCAUUGAGCAGCAUUAAAAUGCAGCUUUUGCCGCAUUAUCAAAACCCGCGCCCCCCCUCGUGAUUAGGCUGUAUUACUGACUUUUGUGUUUUAAAAGUCAGUAGCUUCCCCUUUUUUUAACUUUAUAAUAAUAGUAAUAAAUAAAUAAAAUUUUAAUUUAAUAUAAUAUUAUACAAUAUUAAUUUUUAUUUUUACAUUAUAAUUUAUUAAUAAAUUUAUAAUUGAAUAUAAUUAAUAAUAAAUACUUAAAUAGUAUAUAAAAAUAUAAUAUAGCAUUACAUUAUUUAAUUAAGUUACAAUAAUUAAUAUAAAAUAUUAAUACAAUUUAAAUAUAUUAAUAUAAUAUAAUAUUUAAUUUAAAUUAAUAAAAAAAUUAUUAUAGUACAGUAUAGUACCAAACAUUGUACAGUAUUAUUAUAAUACAAUGUUAAUACAAUACAGCAUAAUACAAUACAUCAGUAUUAAAAUAAUACAAUACAGCAUAAUACAAUACAACAUAAUACAAUACGUGUACCAAACGCACCCUAAAGGAAAAGGAUUGCAAAUCCAGCCCACGAAUCCUUAAAUGAAAAUAAUUAAAAACAAAAGCCCAACCACCUAUUUCAUUCCUAAGCCAAUCAGAAUUAAAAGCAAAAGCCCCUCCACGUGUUGCAUGCCAUAUUCUCUUUGUAAAUGAAUUCUUCAAUGCUUCCUCACUUGCUGCCAUAUUUGUGAACCAAAUAUUCAAUGCUUCCUCCAUGUGUUGCAUGCAUGCUUAAUGAUUAAUUAAAUUAAAUCUUUUGUGAUUUGUUCCAAUUAAUUCUUCUUUAAUCCCAUAUUGUACAUAAAAUAAGAAAAUAUAAAAAAUAAAAAUAAAAUUAAGUUAUGAAAGCAUUAAAAUAAUAGAUAAAUUAUGAGCACAUCAGCAACAAACCAAUUGUAUCACAUAAAACUAAUAAGACGUGCUUGGCCACACUAGGCUGCUUCCACAUGUGUGGGUGCACUUGCUAUUUGAGCAUUUCAUUGAUUUAUUUUGAUUAACAAGCACAACCAGAUGAAAAUAUAUACGCAUUUGGAUUUGCAUGGAUGGGAGUGGGUUUUAAACCAAGUCAAUGAAGAAGAGAAAUUGAAUUUCUUGCAAAGAAUUCUGUGGGAACAAGCUUGAUGCUGAAUGCUUUUCUUCUAAUUGCUAUGUUUCUGUUAGCAAGGUGGUAACAAAUUUGAGAAUUAUAUACAGCACAAGUGCAAGAACUUUAAUAUAAAAUAUCAAAACAGCCGAAAGCAAAUAUUAACAAACUAUCCACAAGUCACUGUGCCCUAAGAACUGAAAGGAGAAACUCUAUCGGGGCUGAAAGAUGCCUCCAAUGUGGAAUUGUGAGAAACUGGCUUGGCAUCAUAAGUGGAUAAAUAAAAAGGGUAAUUUUUAGGUACCUCCCCUGAGGUUUGGUGUAUUAACACUUAGAUAGAAUGUAUUCAUGUAAUUACAUAUACCUCCCCUACAGUUAGUAUAAAAAUACGUAUAGCGUCAAAUAGAAGGGUAAAUGUGUAAAAAUAUAUUUAAAAUUAAAAAUAUUUGCUUUUACCAAAUCAUUAAAAUUAUGACCCACUUGCCCGCUGUCAGCCCAAACUUGACCAGUCGGUCAUGGCUCCACCAGCGGCUGGUGGUGGUGCGCCGCUACCGAAGUCCUCUCCUCACACUAGCAACCAACCCCAUUCAUGGCAGCCUUUGAAUCAACUGCGUCCACCAACACACAUUAACCCAAGUACACGGCUUUUUGAAGUGUCUCUUUUGCUUUGUGUUUUCCCUUCAUUGAGAAGAUUCGUUAGCUAAUAUAAUAAGCUUUGUUGCCUUAGAUUUGAGAUUACAGAGGCCUGAGCAGAUGUGGCAGUGAUGUGGGCUUUAUUGUACUUGUCGAACAGGCAAAACACAUUUUAUUGGCCUACGGCGCCUUUUUCUUCUUGUUGGGGAACUUCGUGAAGAAUCCAGCUUGCUUCUUUCUUCCUUUUCUUUCUUCAUUUUAAUUUUUUUUUAACUUAUAAUAACUUUUUGAGAUUGAAUUAUUGGCUUCACGUGUAAAUGAAUGGUAUUUGGUAUGUCAAGUGCAUAGUUAUUCUUUUUUUAUUUAUUUUUUCUGAUGUUUUUGUGUUGGAAUUAAUUUCUCAAGGUUUUGGCACCACUCCCCAUUGGAUUUGCUGUGUUCAUGGUACACUUGGCCACAAUCCCAAUCACACGCACUGGAAUUAAUCCAGCAAGGAGUCUCGAGGCUGCUGUUAUUUACAACAAGGACAAGGCUUGGGGUGGCCAAUGGCUCUUUUGGGUGGUGGUGCUUUGCCACUGUCGGAGUCCUCUCCUAACACCGGCGACCAACCCCAUUCAUGACAGCCUUUGAAUCAACUGCGUCCACCAACAAACACUAACCCAAGUAGGCUUUUGUCUCAUCACAACCGGCACACCCCCACCGCCCCUUUGGCCAUCGCCGAAGCCACCCAACAACAACUAACAUCACCAUUAAAGUGGGUUCAAUGGAAUUCCCACUGCCAACGGAAUUCCCAAAGUUAUAACUAAUAAUUUUUUAUUUCAGCAUGAAGGAUAUUUUAGUAAUUUUAAAUGUUUACUAACGGUCAACUUAAUUAAUAACUAACGGCAGGGGAGGUAUAUGUAAUUACAUAGAUACAUUCCAUCUAGGUGUUAAUACACCAAACCUCAGGGGAGGUCUCUAAAAAUUACCCUAAAUAAAAACAAGAGUAAAUAGAAGCUCAUUAACAGAGAUUCCACUGUAUAGAGGGGUAUAUAUGUACAAUAUGUUACAUUUGGGAGAUGAAGAAAGAAAAAGUAAACUCACAAGUGUGCCUUGGAAUGAGUCAAGCACACGAAUAUGUCCUUCCAUAGUGGUCGGAAGUAUAAUUCUCCCAUCAUUACUGAGCUUUAUGACAUCAGAAUCUGAUACAUCUUCCCCAUUAGAGAAGAUGUCAAAAGGACCCUAACAGCAUCCAAGCUUAACCAAAUUAGUGCAUGAUAAAAGUACUACGAUAUAUAAACUUCCAAGAUAUUCUUAUAUUAAUUUUAACCUUCUCAUACUUACGAGCAUCAAACAUUCUUAUGUAUCCUCCAAAGGCAACUGCAAAGACAAGCCCUUGAUCAUCGUAUGCUGUAGCAGGCCUUCCUUGAACAUUCAAAAGACCCGGAUUUGCCAACAGAGAUCAUAAACACAAUUGAAAAUGGGGGAAAAAGACACUUUGAAUGUGACCGUGGAUGGCAUGAUAUCCACCUAGCAUUUCUCAGCCCGCUGAUCCCAGAGCAGAACAGUUUGAUCAAGAGAACCAGAGAUAAAGCAAUCUUUCGAGGAGCACAGGCUAAACAACCCUAGAAGCAAUAAAACAUAUAUACAGAUGAUAAUAAUUACAAAAUAUUUACAAGAAUCAGUGAAUUACAAACCUGUCAUGGUGACCUUUGAAGUAACGCAAGUACUUGUUAUCGUGCAAGGAAAGAAACCGUAGAGAUUCUGAAUAAAUGAACGUAUCAAACAGCACUACAAGUGGUUUCGUAAUCCAAAAAGUUCUAUCCAUGAAAGCAGAUAUCAAGCACUUCCCCAGAAAAACAAUUCAAGGGUUCCUUUGAUUUCAAAAGACACUUUAUUAUUUCUGCAAUUUCAAACAAACAUUGCAAAAUUGAAACCAGCUUCUUAUACUUAUUCAAAAGCCAUUUCUUAGUUAAAAGCACUUCCAAAGAGACAACAUAAAAUCCUAAGAAACAGAGGAUCAACUUACGUGGCAGCAGAGACAUCGUACGGCCGUAUAGAUUCAUCAUCACUAGCCGUCACCAAAUAACUCGACGAUUUAUGAAAAUCCAUGGAACUAAUUCUCCCAUUCUGUUGAAACACAAAUCAAUACAAAACGACACUGAAUUAACAAACAGAUACAUUUAAAACGCAAAUCGAGUAUGUUCCUCGAAUAGAAACUUAUUAGAAGAUUCUCUUACAUAAUCUCUAAAAGAAAUGCCCACUUCCAUGCUCUGAAGAAUUUCUUCAAAGAGUUCCAACGAGACCUUGUCUUCUCUCUCCGAUUGUGACCCUAAAACCCAGAAAUAAAAAAAAAAGAAAUAAAAACACAAAGCAAAUAAGUAUAUCACAGCAAUUAUGCCAAAAACGACAACAUUUCAAGUAAAAUUUCCACAUACCAACAAUUUUUUUUUUUUUUUUUUUUUGAUAUAAAAGGGAGCCAAACAAGGCUAAACCGAGACAAAACGUGGGAAAGCAUUCCCGUACAUGUCAUAAGUUAAACAAUUAACAACACCAUUCGGAGGGUUGUGGAGGACAUGAAACCCAAGAGGUUGCCUCAUUGCGAAAUUUGCAAGAAAAUCCGCUGCAAAAUUUGCUUCGCGGUAAAUGUGGCUAAUGCACACAUGCCAUUCUCUAUUUAUGAGCCUUCGGAUACUUUGAAUCACAGAAGAAAAUUUGCUUGGGUUAUUGUUCGUGUCUGCAAGAAGCUCAGUGAUGCACUUGCUGUCAACUUCAACCAACAAAGACCGAAUUCCCAUCUUCCAAGCCAGGUCAAGACCAUAGAAUAAACCCCAAAGCUCAGCAUUUGUAACCGAACUAAUUCCAGUGUUCGCACAGAAUCCAGCAAUCCAGUUCCCAUUUGCAUUUCUUAUCAAGCCCCCUGCAGCUGCCAUGUUCAUCUUUAGCAGGCCCCAUCAGUAUUCAAUUUGAAGACAUUUUCAGGAGGAGGUUUCCACCCAAAGUAUUUAACCAUCUUUGAAGCUCCAGGCUUGAUCAAGGCCAUCAUGGUUUUAUGGGCAUUUUCAGCUCUGGUCAUAAUAUCUAAAGUGAUGCUUUGACUGCUCCUCUGUACUUUCUUAAACAGAGCUUGGUUCCUCCAAAACCACAAUUAUGCCAAAACACAAAGCAAAUAAGUAUAUCACAGCAAUUAUGCCAAAAACGACAACGUUUCAAGUAAAAUUUCCACAUACCAACAUUUUUUUUUUUCCUUCAGAUUAAUUCAAUUCCACUGCACUGAAAACAAUUUUUUCACGGAAACGGGAGGAAGUUGAGAAUUUAUUUAUACUUCUGUGUCAAAUAGCAUUAUUUCCCAAAUAAGGACGGUAGUUUUCUAUUCGUCCCAAAUGGGUGCCUAAACCCAUACAAUGACUACGAUACCCUUAAGCGUCAGAUCCUGUACACUUAAAUGUCAAGGGUAUUUUGAUCAUUUAAUAAUUAGUGACCUACUUUCCGAUGCUUAUAAAGUCAAACUUCACGAAGAAAACGCUAAUAAGAAUGAUUAAGAAAAACGCUCAAAUUGGAUCAAAGCUUUGAAUGCCAACGUAAGUCUCGAGUUUUUUUUUUUUUCUUUCUUUCUAUUAUGCGUUAUUUUAUUCAUCAUCUAGUAGUAAUUUAAUCUGCAAAAUUCCAAUUUUUGACGCGCGCGCACCUAAAAAAUUUUUUGAAAGAAUUUUAUUUGAAUUUUAUAUGUGUUCCUAUUUGUUUUAUGAAUCGAAUCUGAUAAGAAAUUGUGGGGAUGCAAAUAUCACACGAUGCCUCCGUUCAGUCAAUUUUUUUCUUGAUUUGUUGAAAUUGUGUAAAUAGAUUUAUAAUAGUUUUUAUGAUGUGGCAGGGUACGCGCUCUUUGGAUAAUCAUGGAAGUAUGGUGAUUUCUAUUUAUUGUUGUGGGGAAAGGACACCGAAUUCUUUGCCUGGUUUUAGAAAUGAUCACAUAGACUUGUAUUAGGAUAAUUAUACCCUUUGACUGUAGUGAUUUCAUCUUGGCAUAUUUAUCAAAAUGGGUAUUUUCCCUUUCAACUACUCAUCACACGAGCUUUAACCUUCCACCAGUGAUCUGUUGAGGCUGAAUGAUGAGCGGAGGAUAGCGUGUUUGCCUUAUUCGUGCUUCAAGGUGAAGCAGAUUAUUGGUGGCAGGAUUAAGCUCGUCUGAUUUUGCAACCAAUUACAUGGAAAAUGUUUGUGAAUGGCUUGAAGCAUUGAGAUAUCAUUCUAUUAUCUCCGUGUGUUUUCAUAAGCAAAAUUGGGAUGUUAAUAGUGGUGUCGUAGCAGGAAGUUGAACAUGCAAGAUUCCAGCAAAUCCCUUUGAGAUCCCAUCCAGUUGUUGCAGCCCAGAUCCCACCAUCAAAUCAGGUCAAAUUACAAGAUAUACCUAACUUAUGGAUUAACUUUCAUGUCUUUUAGUUUGAGAUCUAGUGAGUACAAUGCUCGUAAUGGCCAAUACCAUAUGGUUCAAGAGGAUAUGAGAGCAUAAAGGUUCAAAUUUAUGAGUUUAACCGGUUGAAAAUGGUGUAAUAUGCCUCUGUGGUUUGUACAUAAUGGAUUAGAUAAUCCUCUUUUUUGGCCCUCCAAAGAAUUAUUCGUAGGAGACUGAAAAUUGAAUCUCUGAUGCAGUUUAUCCUUGAACUGGUAAGACAAUGUAGCUGAAGUAAUUUUUCAUAUUUCAUAUAGUAUUUGCUAUCACUUAAGUGGAAGACUAACUUUUGUAUCUCUACUUUUUUCUGGCGACUUCAAACAGUCUCAACCUUUUGGAAUGUGACAAACUUUGAACUACUAUAGUAAUAAGAAGAUUACUAACCCUGUGUGCCCUGUACACACUGCUAUGAUUGAAGAAAGGCUAACCCUGUGUGCCCUAUACACACUGCUGUGAUUGAAGAAAGGCUAAUAUUACUUUUGCUGACUGACUGAGUGUGAAGGUGUGGGAGUGAAAGCUACAACAUACACAAACAAUAUGGAUGGACCUUGCCAAUGCUGAGUUGAUCUCUGCAAAUGAAGAUUCACCUAAAUAGAUUGGGAAUGCCAUUGUGGAGCAAAUUAGUAGGAACCAGGAUGGAAAUUCCACAGUGGUUAUGCAUCUUGAAGGAUACAAGAUGACUGUGUUGAAGCUGACCCAGCUACUUGAAAUAACCGAGUUAGUGGGGUUUGACUACCCAAUCACAAAGAAAAAGGUAUGUUGAUUUUCAGAAUUUUUCUUCCACUUAUCUCUUUGCUGUCAUACAGAGUGCCAUUCUGAAUAGUGAACUUUUCAUGUAAUGUGAAUUUGAUUCUUAAAGCACCUGAAUCUAGAUAAGCUUGCUGCAUGCUGAGCAUUGGGUCUUGUGUCUCAUGUGGGCUUUUUUCUUGAGUUCUUUGUGCCCAAAGAUGCUAGUAGGCUGGUUCUUACCACUGACCAACCAUCUAUUUAUACUUAGUCACAGCAAUUGCAAACAUACCCCCUUGGUUGGUUCAGGCAGUAAAAUCUCUUGAGGUAGUACUUAAUUGCCAUUUCCAAGUGUUUAACCCUAAAUUUUUAAUAUCUUUUUGGUGGAUUCAUAUACAUUGAACUAGUCUUCUUUCUAUAUUACAUGGAUUAAAUUUUGAAAUUAGGCCAACCUGUUGUUAAAUCUGCCUUUCAAAUUAUUGACUUAAUAUUGCGAAAAAAGAGAGACUUUUUACUAUUACAGAAUUUUUCAUUGUUGCAGGAAACUGGAGUCGUAGCUGACAGUGCUCAAGGGCAAUCCUUAAAUUAAAUUUCAUUGCAAUAUUUGAAAUUUAAAUUAUUUGAGAAAAAAAAAAUAUUUGCAUAAUAUUGAACAACGCAUUUUCUUGUAUAAUAUCAAUAAAACAAUGCAUGUGAGGGAAUAAAAAGAAUAAGACGAAAUUUGACGACAGUAAUUAGCAUUAUUUCAAGCAAAGAAAUCUGGACACUAAUAUGUUUUCUCUGUUACUUUUCAAAAUUACUGCGUGUGCAUGAGAUGAUUGCUUGCUACUGUAGUACUGUGCAAGGUGAAACAUUUGAAGAAGCCCCCUUCUAAACUGGUAGUGGUGGUCGUUGUCCUCCUGCCGAGGAAGUGUCAUUAGAUUGAAACCUACUGCAAAUAUUGAUACAAAAUGGCUUCAAGGUUUCGUUAUAGAGCUGACUGCAAAAUGGCUUCAAGGUUUCGUUGUAGAGCUGACGACAAGCUUCUGUAAACAGCGCCCCAUAUUGAUGCACAACAAUGAUAAUGGACGAGCAAAGCCAUGCAGUGUACAAUAUGAUAUGACCAAUAUCAGAGCGGGGAACAAAUGUGGAGGCUAGCGAGACUGCAGAAACAGAUCCAGAGACUCGUGCUGCAAGGGCCCAAGAUUGGGAAAAAUUCUCUUGAUGAGCUAAAUAUGCAUAACAAUAAAUGGCUGUGGUUAUGAGAAAAGACCAUAUAUUUGUUGUGUGUUUCAAGCAAGCGCUCAUUUGUGCCUUGCAUAUUUGCUCCCACAAUGCCGAUGAGAGCUGGAAUGAGAUAUCCAAACACGUUAUGGUAUGCGUUUGACAUCGCAGAUAAAUAAAAUUUGUUCUUGCAGAACCAUUAAAAUACUAUAUUAAGGAAAGUAUUAGAUCCAUUCCUUUAGAAAAACAGGAAUUUAAGAGAUCAUUAUGUAUUUAGUCUCAUUUAAUAUUAGUUUAAUUUUUUCGAGUCAUAGUUAUUGUGAAAAAAAAAAAUUAUCAAAUACUUUUAUUGAUUGGUAAGAAUUUAAAAAGGAAAUUUGGGAUUUUUUUUUUGUUUUCUUGUGAACAUUGACGGUAUAUAUGUAGGGUAAAGUUUUAUUUUUAAAUACACGUUGUGGCUCAGCUCAGAGAGAGAAGGGAGACGGUCAAGAUUGCUGGGUUGACUUUCUUUUCCCGUCAGCCAUUUUGUAAUAGCUUGAUCAGAGCAAUCAUUACCUGCAAAACUUAACACAACACCAAAUUAACAACCAACAUUUCAAUUGAAACAAAUCUACUUGAAAAUAAAAGAAAAAGCAACUCCAAAUCAAAAUCGAAAUGAAACCUUAUCAGAGAGACAGCCGCAAGUAUGAAGAGACAAGCACGAUCCUGAAGGACUAUUACUCCAAAUCAAAAUCGAAUUAUAAGAGAGAAAGCCGCAAGUACGAAGAGAGAAGCGCGAUCCUAAAAGAUCUGAAGUCGUGUUGUAUAUAUGUCUUGUAUAGAUUGACAGAGCAAUCAAAGGCCGUGUCGACCAGAGCAAUCGAAGAGUAGAAGAGAUAAGAGAGGAAAAAAGAAGAAGAGGAGAACUGCAGCAGCAAAUGAGCAAAGGGCAGUAUUUAUAGACAAGACAUGUUGUACGAAAUAAAGUAGUGGACCCUUUGUAGGCCUCAUCAUUCUUAAAAAUUUCUUCCAUCAUCACUGCCAUGCAACCUAGAUAUUCUUUUUCAAAUAUAUUAAACAUUUUAUUCGUGUUAGUUUGUACUGCAUGGCUUAAAAUUCCACUCUUUACUAUGAGACAACGAACGAGUGGACCCUUUGUAGGCCUCAGUUUUGCAAUUACUGACUUAUCACAGCUUACUCCAAAUCAAUUUGGAGUAAGCUGUGAUAAGUCAAUUUGGAGUAAGCUGUGAUUUGGCUGUUGUAAGCAUGGCGUUCGUUGAAAAUUCCGCGAAUUCCCCCAUCCGCCAUCGGACCGACCGUCGGUUGAAUUAUCACAGCUUAAGAGCUAAAGUUUUUGUGUUAAAGAGCUUAAAUAACAUAUUAUAAGACUCAAGAUAUUAGGUUCGAACCACGCAUCUUCGUUUUACUUAAUGCAGAUCCAAUUUUGGUGGCAGCGAAAUUAAAACUUUUCAUUUCAUGUAUUAUCUCAAGAAAUAUGACAUUGAUACAAAUACAUCAUUCAUAGAAUUUGAAACUUGGAACAUGAAUUUGCAGUACGUACUUUUAGGUAAUCCCAAAAAAAAAAAAAUUUAAACUAUUAGGUAAGAGUUCAAUAGUUGUACUUGAAAUCAAGUCUAACAAAUAUUUAGAGCAUAGUAAAAUAAGGACCGAUUGAGAACAAAAUUAAAGAUUUAGAUUAAUUGAGAUGAUAAUUUAUGUAAACUUACUAAAAUAAAACAAAGAUGCAUAGUAAGUUUACAUAAAUUAGGUUCGAACUACGCAUCUUUGUUUUAUUUUAGUAACCUUAAACAUCUACCUCGAAAGUUGACGAAAGUUGUGAGCAAUAUUCUAAUAUUGCUAAUAUGUGUUUCAAACUAGAUACUUAGAUUCUAAUUAUCCUCCUCGUUCAAUAAUCAGUCUUUCUUGUGAAAACACAUCUUAUAAUAAUAAUAAUAAUAAUAAUAAUAAUAAUUAUUAUUAUUAUUAUUAUUAUUAUUAUUAUUAUUAUUAUUAUUAUUAUUAUUAUUAUUAUUAUUAUUAUUAUAUCUAAAAAAAGAGUAAGCAGUGCUACUGGUAGUCUGCAGUCUGCCGUGUAAUGAUAAUAUAUAAUGAAUAAAUAAAUAAAUAAAAACGGAAAUACGUAUCACAGUUGACACAUACCUUCAUUGAAAUCAAUAUAUAUAUAUAUAUAUAUAUAUAUAUAUAGGGUUUGGCUAUCUUCUUAUUAUUAUCUUUCCUUGUUAUCAUGCAAGGAAAGAAGCCGUAGAGAUUCUGAAUAAAUGAAUGUUUCAAAUAAGUGCCUAGGAAAGUAAUCCACCAACAUACACAACACAAAUGUUCCGAUAAACAUACCAUCCCAACCAUUCUUUGAGGAGUAUAUGACUGUUGUAGGAUGAGAAGUAAAACAAACAAGAUCCACGCCAUAUUUUUUGCUAUUAAUUGUCUUCAAACAUCUGAAAUUCAAUUAAGGGUCUCAGUAACAAUUGUAAUACCGAUUAUCAUGAACUCAGCUAAGACAACUGAAGUGCAUUUGGGAGUGCUCUUAUAGAAAGAGCAUAUGAAAGCAGGAGGGGAAAACGGCCUUUUCACAAAGUACUUGAAAAACAUAUGAAUUACAUUUCCCUUAAGCACUUCCCAGAAACCACUCCAAGGUUUUUUUUUUUUAAUUUUUUUCCAUCUUAAAAAGCAUUUUUGUCCAUCUUAGAGAAACAGCAACUUUCAUGAGCUCCUGAAACACGCAGAGCAUACAUUCAGAAGUGCUUUAACUGAAAGUACCCUUGAGUAAAAUCACUUUGAAACAUAUAUGAAGUACUUCUUCAAAUGGCACUAGAAGUGAUUUCCUAAUCCAAAAAGUUCCACCUAUGAAAGCGGAUAUCAAGCACAUUCUCACAAAACCACUUCAAGGGUUCCUUUGAUUUAAAAAGACACUUUAUUUUUCUGCAAUUUCAAACAACUACUGCAAAAUUUAAACCAGCUAUUUACACUUACUCAAAAGCCCUUUCUUAGUUAAAAGAACUUCCAAAGAGACAACAUAAAAUCCUAAGAAACAGAGGAUAAACUUACGUGGCAGCAGUGACAUCAUACAGACGUAUAGAUUCAUCAUCACUAGCAGUCACCAAAUAACUCGACGAUUUAUGAAAAUCCAUGGAACUAAUUCUUCCAUUCUGUUGAAACACAAAUCAAUACCAAAACGACACUCAAUUAACAAACAGAUACACUUAAAAUGCAAAUCAAGUAUAUUUCUCAACUCAAAAAAAAAAAAAAGGUAGAAGGUUCUCUCACGUAAUCUCUAAAAGACAUGCCCACUUCCAUGCUCUGAAGAAUUUCUUCAGAGAGCUCCAAUGAGACCUUGUCUUCUCUCUCUGAUUGUGACCCUAGAAACACCCAGUAAAAAUACACAACACAAAUAAAAUAAAUAAAUAAACCACAGCAAUUAUGCAAGAAAACUACAACGUUUCAAGUAUAAUCUCCACAUACCAACCAUUUUUUUCUCCUCCAGAUUAAUUCCACUGCAUCGAAAAUAAAUUUUCCACUGAAACGGGAAGGAAGAUGCGGAAGUUGUGAAUCAAUCAGCAAGAUUUCUCCAAUAAGGACCUAAGUUUUGCAAUCGUCUCAAAUAGGUGCCCGACCCCAUUUAAUGAGUAAGAUACCCUUAGGCGUCGUAAAGAUUAUUUAUUUAAACACCAAGGGUAUUUUGGUCAUUUAACAUCACUGAGGGUGCCGCUACGCUACACCUUAUUACGAGCCGUAGACCCCCGCCGGUGGGAUGGUUUGGGUUUGUCGGUUAACGCAUUAAAAUUCAUCUCAAACACAAAAUAAAUUUUGACAUCCAUUGUAUAGUACACACAUUAAUAAAAGAGAUAGGUUUAGUUUCAAAAAAGUAAGUACAUGAUAUGUAGUGUUAUGGAUAUACAAAAUCAUUUUAAAAGUUAAAAUCUUUACAGUUUUUUUAAUGCUUUUCUCUCUUAAUGUAGAUUCCAUAAAAUACCAUAUAUUGUAACAAAGAAAAAAUGUUAUGUUCUAUUUUAAACCUUUAAUAAAACAUAGUAUAUAUGUUUUGUCAUAUACAAAUGAUUAUUAUUAUGUGGAGGUAAUUUUUUUAAGAUAGAAACUAAAAAAGUAUAGUUUAUUACAAUAUGAAGUUUAUUAUUAUUUAUAACUGACUCAAAUUGGGACAAGAAAUUUUUAUGAUUAUAUGGAGGUUAUUCUUAUAUAAAGUAUCACCAUGAAGAUAUAUUAUUGUAAUUUGAAGAGGAAUCCUUCUAGACUGGUAGUGUUGGUCCUAGCUGUCCUAACUGGUAGUGUUGAAACCUAUUGCAAGUGUCAAUACAAAAUGGCUUCAAUGUUUUUUGGUAAAGCUUAAGAGAAGCUUCCAUAAACAAUGUGCCAUAAUGAUACACAACAUUGAUAAUGGCAGCUCCAAUCCAUGCAGUGUACAAAAUGAUGUGACCAAUCUUAGAGCGUGGGACAAAUGUGGAAACCAAAGAGAUUGCAGAUACAGAUCCUGAGGCAACAGCAAUAAGGCACCAGAACUGGGAAGAAUUUUCUUGAUGAACUCGAGACUUCACAUCAGCUGAAUAUGCAUAACAGUAAAUGGCUGUGGCUAUAAGAAAAGAGCAUAUAUUUGUUGAGUGUGUUUCAAGCAAGGACUUAGUUUGGCCUUGAACAUUUGCACCCACGAUGCCGACGAGAGCCCCAAUAAGAUGACCAAAAAUAUAGGGAUAUGACAUUGAGGAGAAGAGAUUUCGCCCACUGCAAAACAAUUUUAAAAAAAAAAAUCCAUCAUAAUCUAAUAUUUCUCCUGAGCAAACUUCACUCAAGCGAUUAGUUGUUAAUAAUUUAAAAAAUAAAAGUGGUUAAGUUUUAUUCGUACACUAGCACUAAAUAAUAAGUGACAAAAGAUUUUUAAAGGUUUAAAAGAGCUCAAAUUAUAAAAGGAUCUUAAUCACCAUUUUAAACACAAAUUUAGACACAAGUUUUAGCCAUUGAAUUACAAUCAUUUCAAUAACUUAGAUUGAAGCUAACAUAAAUUUCAUUUUAAAAAUAAAAUAGUGGUCACAUUACAUAUUAUUAAUUUUAUCUCUUUUCUCUCCACUUUAAAUCUCUUUCUUGCUAGAAAUUGAGAGAGAGACUAAAAACUUCAGAGAUUAAUGUACCUAGUUUAGAGCUUAAAGAAGCUAAAACACAAGAAUCAAUGGAGAUAAUGGUUCCUUUACGUUAUACACAAGGCUUCCACCUUAUACUUCAUCUAAAUAAAUUGGUGAGAUCCCAUUACGGACAUGAAAAGAGAGAAAAAGAUUUAAAACAAAUUACAUCAUUUAUCUUCUGUACAGUAGAAAAUAGGAUAAAUUAACAAAUUACAUCAUUAAACUUCUGUACAUUAGAAAAUAGGGUAAAUUUUAAUUCAUCUCUUAAGAUAAUAUGACAGUCUUUAAUUUAUCUCCUAAAAGUGUGAAAAUUUCAAUUUACCCCGUAUUCUUUGAGAAGAUGAUUGCAUGAGGACCACUAUUGAUGGAUUUAUUUUUUGCCUUCUUUAACAGCAAAUGGAUGUAAAAUAAUAUUUUCACACUCUUAGAGAUAAACUGAAAAUUGAUAAUAUAAGUAUGAGAUCAAUUGAAAUUUACCCUAAAAAUUAUAAUUAAAUCUCACCCAUCUAUCAAUCCAUAGAUUUUUACACGCUUUCAAAAUCGUCAUUCUAAAAUCAAGUCAACUCUCAUUCAGAGAAGCUACGUAGAGGUGUGACUUUUAUCAAAGCCAAAAUGAACCACUGUUUGUUGGCAUCGAUUUUUGACAAAGUAUAUAGUAACCCCCUCAAACAUUAACAAAAGCAAAAAAAUUGAAAAGGAAAAAAUUGUUUGUUAUACGUUUUGAGUCCCUUUCUCUUGGUUUUGCUUCUUGAGGAAAUUGUAGUUUUAUUUGAGUUCGUAGAAGUUAAAACUUUGAAGGACAAAAGAUCUUGGGAAAAGAUACGAGGAGAGAGAAAAAGAAAAAAAUUAAAUUAAAUAUAAAAUUGAAAGAGAAAGAAAAAUAAUUAAUAGUUACUAAUUAAUUUUGCAUCAAAAGGAAAUUCAUGUCAGUCUCAAUCUAAGCGAUUGAGGCUAUUAAAAUGAUUCUGAGCUAAUAGCUAAAAGUUUGUGUUUAAGUUUGCAUUUAAAAUUAUAUCUCUUAAACCUGCAUUUCAUCUUACAUAUAUUUUGUUUUAGUGAGAGAAUGAAAGAAAAAUUUCAGAGGGACAACUUAACCAGUUUAUUCCCGCAAAAUUGGGAGAACAAAAGUAAUUUGAAGUAGACUGCAUACUCAAAGAUAAUGUACAACUAGAGUGCAAAAAAUAAAAAUAAAAUAAAAUGACCAUACACAGGAGAAGGGUUUGGACUUGGAUGAUGAAGAAUGCACUGGCAGCUUUGCAUUCGCAUAUAUAUCUCAGGAAAAUCUUCAGUUUUCAUAUUAAAUGAAAUAGAACUCAACAGUUAACUCACUCAGCUUGAACUUGGAAGGAAAAAAGAAAAGAAAGGGAAAGAAAAAUCUCCCUCUCACUUCCAAAAAUAAAAAUUACACACUCGAUAGAAACAUCUUACUUAUCUCCGCUUAAAAAAUUAUCUCAUGGCCUCGGUAUUUAUGGGCUAAACGAGCCACUGUUUAAUCAAAAUGUGAAAAAAAACAAAUUCAAAAAGUUUUUGUUUGAUGGAAUGAGGAUGGAAAUGGACAAAAUUCAAAAGGGUUAUUUUUACUUUUACUGGCUUCCAAUAAACUAGGCCAUAUUGCACGUAAUUAUAGAAACCUCUCCUGCUGUUUGUACAACGUUUCGUAAUGGUCAAUAGAAAUGUUUUGCUCAGUUGCGUUAUGUGCUGAGUGAGGGAGACAGCGAAUCGUAGAGAGGAUUUUCAAGUUCAAAGUAAUAAAUGAGAAAGCGGCGAAGGGCCAUCGGUAGCUAGUAAUGAAAGAAUAAAGUUUUCAAAAGUUUACUUUUAUUGAUGAAAAAGUAAUGACAAUUAAGGUUUGAUCCUUUUUUAUUCUAGAAUCCUAACACACCGUUUUACUAAUUAUGUUAUUUCAAACCCUACAAAUUUUUUUUCCAAUAAUGAACAAUCUUGCUGGGAUAUAAACGAGUCUAUGCAAGGAAAGCCAAAAUACAAAAAAAAAAAAAAUAUAUAUAUAUAUAUAUAUAUAUAUAUGAGCAUGAUUUAUAUACGUUUCCUGAUUGAGUUGCUAGCGACGAUAAACUCAGUUUCGAAAGUGUAUAGGCGUAUCUCAAAGUAUUAGUGGUUGAGAAUAUGCAGAUAAACUGAAAUUACAAUGAAAUUAUUAUAAAGCAAAUAAAAAUUUACAAGGGAAUGAGUUUCUUUUAACCAAUUAAAUAACAAAUCCGAUGUUUCAAAUGGAAUAAUACACGAAAAAACCAUGUUCACAGAUAAACAAGUUAGCAGCAUUAUAGACAAACUUCGGAAGCAGAUACCUGAGAUGGCCAACAGUUGAGUGCAAAUUUAUUAGUGAGGUUAAUUUUAUUUUUAGUUGUUCUUAAAUAUAACUUCAAUAAAACAAGAGUUUUAUGAUAUUAAUGAAGUGAUGCCAAUUGUCCAACUCUUUAUUUUUAUCAUUUUAAAGGCUCCUUCUUCUACUUACCUGUUUGUUCUUCUAACUCACUAUUUAUUUCUUUAUUUUUGCAUUUAAAUUCUUUCUUAAUUAAUAUGAGCUUUCCCAAGCAUUUAAAAAUUUAAUAUCAUCAACGUUAAUGUAUAAUUAAAAUCUAACUAAAUUUAUUUUAUAAGUUAUUAAAACACCAAUCACUUAAAUGAAUUUUACAUCUUUUUUCUGCCAACAUAACAAAUGUCUUUAUUUAAUUGCUUUGGUAAUGUAAAUGGCGAUUACCUGAGCAGCCGGUCGCCCAUUCUCACAUGUGUGACACACAUAUUUCCUCUACUCGACAUUUUCAUGUUUCUACAGUGUAUAUUAUGCAAGACCCUACAAUUAUUGGUCAUUUGUUUCAACUCAGAGAAAAAUUUGCACAACAUUUUAUUUAUAUUCGUCAAAUUUAUUAUUUAAAAAUUAAUGAAACCUACCAUUCUAUUAUAUUCUAAAGCAUCACCAACAGACCGUCUCAGGUUCUCUCUCCAAGUCAAUAGCAAGCAAUGUAAUCUCGGUACCGAGGUACAUUCAAAGGUCAAAUCACGUUCAGCUGCUGGCAGGAAAAUCAAAUAAAUUAAUUAGGCAAUGAGUCCCUUUUUAAGCAAUGGUGAGGAUUACUUUUUCAGGAAACUUUCAGUGACCGGUAAAGACAAAUUUUGGUUAGGUGAUGGUAGCAAAUAAACGUUGCAAGUUAAAUCUGAACGCUGCAUUUAACCCAAACUCUGUUUCAAUUGAAUGUGGAAAGGACAUAUACAUAUGCUGCUGUGAAGAAGCUCGAAGCAGUCAGCCAUGAGAGGCCCUGCUUUCCUUGUAAUCUUUCCGUAAAGUAGCACCAUCAUCAUGCAAUGAAGGAAAAUCCUCAUGAGAAGCCUCCAUUCCCUUUCUGCAAUUGUGUCCUUGCUUAAUAUACCUUGAUAUUUACAAAGAACUUUCACCAUAUCAAGUAAAAUGAACAAACACAAAUUACAGAGCCGCGGCGUUUGAAUCAAAGGAACAAGAGGGUUACUCUUGAACAAUGAUAUGUGUUACGUCGCACAUAAAGAACGGAACCGCUAAUAUUUUCUGACAUACUAUUUUCUUACUAAAAUUUUAUCUACUUCUACCACAGUGGAGGAAAAAAGCACCAUACCAGCUGUUUCCGUGAAAAUAGGCGUGAGAAAAAAAUAUUUGCAAGCAACAGAAUUUAUGUUUAAGUGUAAUUUCACGCUUAUUUCAUCUUUCUUCAGUUAAAUCAAUCAGCAAAACUUAAAAGCCCACUUCAAGCUUUUCUUUGAUUUCGAAAGGCACCUUUUUUUUUAAUCCCAUUUCCGAAAACUACUACAAAAUCUAAAAGAAUGAUUUACACUUAAAAAGCCUUUUCUUAAGUUUUAUUUGGUAUUGGGGGUAGUGUAACUUCUAAGUUAUAGUUGCUGUAAAAAAAAAAAAAAGUGUAAUUAUAAAAUACAAAGUUAAUAGUGUACAGUAAAAAUAAAAUUUAAAGAAAUAUUUUGAUAAAAUUAAUAAAAAUAUUAUAAUUUUCUCAUCACAUGAGUGAUGAAUUAAAUCAACUUAGUUUGUAAGCUAUAGCUAAGGAUGAUAAAAAGUUUGGGCCGGCCCAGUAUAUUCUUGCAAACUUUGGCUUGGGCUUCUACACGAGGGCCGGACGAGGGCUCAAGGAAAAAAAGACUGAGCCUAACCCAGUCCUCUAUUUUUUUAAAAAUAAAAUUAUGAAUUAGGAUAACAAAUUAAAAUUCAAAAAAUAAUGAAAAAUUAAAAAAAAAAGCUUAAAUCCCUAAUUCAUAUAUCAAUAAUGAUUCAAAUAACCUAAAAUUAUAAUACUAAACUUAUUUUAAGCAUUAAUUAAUUGAGAGGGUACUUGAAUUAGAAAAUUCAAUAUUAAAACAUUAAAUCUCUCAAAUUUUAUUUGCUUCAUUUUUGUUAUUUAUUAUUUUAUUUGAAAAUAUUUAUUUUCUUUAAUUUAUUAUUGAUUGUAACAACUUAUUGAUUAUUAUCUCAUGUCAAGUUUACAAUAAUAAAAAAUAAAAAAGUUUGCAAUAAAAAAAAUUUAAAAAAUAAGUAAAAGUCCAAGCCCAGCCCAAGCCUGGCUCACCCUGCAAUGGCCUGGCCCAAGCUCCCAUUCUACCAUCCCUAGCCACAACAACUAGUAAUUUAUAAAAAAAUGUAAGUGUUGUAGGUUAGUUUUUAAGUUACAGUUGUAAAACUUCAAUACUAAAUAGAUAUUUAGGGGUUUUUAUUUUCUUUUUUUUUCCUUUGAUAAAACAGGGCUUUUGUUAAAAGCACUUCCAAAGACAAUAUAGAAUCACAAGAAACAAAGGGAUCAACUUAUGUGGCAUAGAGACAUCAUAUAGAUGUACCGAUUCAUCAUCACUAACAGUCACCAAAUAGCUCGAUUUAUGAACUUGUAAAAUCUUUUUUUUUUUCUUUAAGUGUAAUUUCAUCGUAUAGAUGUAGUUUUUUUCCCCCUUCCUUGAAUAAGCUUAUUCACAUCCCAACAAUAGAAUUUUACAUUGAAUAAUGAGUGUGUGUUUUACAAGUAUUAAGAGUAAUUAUGUCAUAUUGGUUUAUAAUAGAUUGUCUUUAACAGUAAUUCAACUUAUGAGUAUUAUGAGUAUUUUUAUAAUGAAUUAUUUUAUAUAAAUAAAUGUGUUCAUAGCAAUUUUUGAAAGUACAAAUAUCUCCACCCUCAUAUUAAUUAUUGUUAUUGAUAUUAUUAUUUGUGCAUGGUAUAUACACGGAUGGAUCCAGUAUUAGACUAGUUGGGGCACGGGCCCUCGCUGACUUUUGUAAUAUUUUUUAUGAUUAUAAAAAAAUGUAUUUAAUUUAUUAUUUAAAAUAGUGCCCCAAUUGAAAUUAGAAUUAUGAAAGUGUUCCAAUUAACUUCAAAAGAUUUUAUGUUGCCCUUAAUUGAAGUGUCUAAUUUUAGAUGAUUUGAUUCACUAUUAAAACAUUAUGAAACUUAAAUAAAGACAAAAGAUAAUUGAUAUUUUAAACAAAAUAAAAAAUAAUUAAAAACUAAAGAUGUAUACUUUGCUCUUUUUAUUUUUCUGGUCUCUUUCCAAUGCUUUGAAUCAAAACCACUUUCUUUAUUUGUUUGUUAUGGUCGUAGUGUAAUAAUCGAUCAGAGUAAUGCACGUGCAUCAGUGCAUGGAUUUCAUCCCAAUUCCCAUAAAUCAAAAGCACUUUCCUUUAAUUGUUUAGUUUUUCGAUAUUGAUUCUUAAAUUAUAAGUCUAGCUAAUUUUAAUUUUCAAUUAUUCCUAUUAAUCUUUUAUCUAGUUUCCAAAUCUCAAUUUUACUAUCUAUUCAUAUUUUCUCUUCGUGUUGCACUAUAUGAAUAUUUGGGAAAUUUACAAAAAUAACCAUAAAAGUUUUACUGUUUUCACAAUUAAUCCUUUAAAUUUUUUUCUAUCAACAUUAGCCAAACACACGCUUUUCUCCCCAAAUUACCCUUGUUUACAAAUCAAAAGCAACAGUCGUGGGUGAAUCUGGCGACAGGCGUCUAUCGCACCAAGCUUGGUGCGACAGACUGCCUGUCGCACAAAGCUACGUGCGACGGGCUGCCUGUCGCACAAAGCUACGUGCGACAGGCGUCUGUCGCACCAAGCUGCCUGUCGCACAAAGCUACGUGCGACAGGCGUCUGUCGCACCAAGCUUGGUGCGACAGGCGCCGGUCGCACCAAGCUUGGUGCGACGGGCGCCUGUCGCACGAAGCUGUAAACUGAUUAUGGAUUAUGAAGCAAAUUCCAGAAUCAGGGAUCCUGUCUACGGCUGCGCCGGCACGGUUUGCCAUCUGCAGAAACAAGUCAGUGAGCUUCAGGCUGAGUUAGCCAAGGCACAGGCCGGGCUCGCUUCCAUGCAAAGCCAGCAACAAAAUUUGAUUGCUUUGAUUUGCAUGGAAAUGGCUCAAUCUCAAGAACAAGUCCUGCAUCGUCAUCAGCAGCAGCAGCUGCAACAGCAGUUCAUUGAUACAAGCUGUUUUUUGGACGAAUACAGUCUUGGCUCUACCUGGGAACCUCUCUGGACAUGAAGAGAAGUUAAAGCAAUAGGAGUGGUUGAAACUUUUGAUUUGAAGUUAAAGCUAAAUAACCAAAUGAUUUGAAUAAAUCUCGUUGAAGAGAAUAGAAGAUAAGAAAGAGGGAAACAUUUUUGCUUUUAUCGGAUUCUGUGCAGAAAGCCCUGCACCAUUCCACCUUCUUUCUUUUUCUUAAAAAAAUAUAUAUAUAUAUUUGUUUCUAUAUCUUUCUUAGUUUCCUUCACCUCCGUUCACUCUUUUUCUGGUUUUGCCUUCAAACUCAUGUUCUGCAACUUUCUACACUAGCUCUCCUCAGUAGCUUAUUCUUACGCAGGGAUUGACUUCAAAGGAUGAAGAAUCCUAUUUAUCUAUCCAAAUUCGUUUAAAUUUCGCAGAAUUCAACUCUUGGAUAUGCAAACUUCAGUUACGCGUAAUUCAAGAUGAUAAAUUAUAACCAGCAUAUCAUCAAUAGACCAAAAGCACAUUGAAAUACUAGAUAUCUACAUAAAUUGGAAUUUUUUUUUAAAAAAAAUUAUAAUGCUUUAAUGUAUUUACAAAAAUAAAUUUCUUAUUUUAGUGGAAUCGCUUGUGAAUUAACAUAUCAUUUGCUUGAGAAAAAGACCAUUAGUGCCGCCGACGAUGGGAGUUUCUUCGGUUUGGGAGAGAUGGGUGAAAGAGAGAUUGUUGGUGGAGAGAAGAGAGAGAGGGGUAUUUUGGUCUCAAAGGUUUUUUUAUGGCUAAUGUUGAUAGAAGUUUGUUUGGGGGGUUAAGAUGGAAAAAGUCAAAACUUUUAUGGUUAUUGGUGUAAAUUUCCCUGAAUAUUUUUGCUAUUCAGUCACAUCAUACAGACGUACAAAUUCAUUAUCACUAACAGUCACCAAAUAGCUCAACCGUUUUUUAAAAUCAAUUGAACUAAUUCUCCCAUUCUGUUGAAAAAUAAAUUAAUACUAAAUGAUACUCAGUUAAUAAAUGGAUACACUUAAAAUGGAAAUCAUCAAGAAUGUUAGAACCGAAGAAUUCAAUCCAAAAUCAAACUAAAUUUUAAUAUGAAUCGAACCAAACUGAAUGACUCAGACAAUUUGGUUUCUAACAUGAAAACCAAGCCAAACCUGUGAUUGAAUGACAAAACAGAAACGUAAAGAAGGUAAAAGAUAGAGAAAUAGAAAUUUCUGACAAAAGUAAAGUUUUAAGUAUCUUUUAUAUUAACCCUAAAUAAGUGAAUUUAUCAAAAGAGGCAAAUCCAAAAUAUUUUAAAAUAGUAAAAUAUUAUCAUUGGAAAUAAAAAAAAAAUAAAAAAUGACACUUAGAUACGAUAUUUGGAAAAAUAAAAAUCAAAAUUUGGAAAGAAACUAAGAAAAUAGGAAAUUAAAUAUCUUUUGCUUGCAAACAUGGCCCAAAACAAUGGGAUUUCAAAAUAAUUCGCUAAGUUUUUAUGAUAUUGUGAUAAACCUCCUUAUUCAUCUUUUCAUAAGCUUCUAUAUAUAUAUAUAUAUAUAUAUAUCUCAUUCCCUUGAAAAAAAUUUUAAAAGACGAUGUAUUAAUUUCCUCUCAAAUUGUCAAUCAUUUGAUUUUGACUGAAUUAUUUUAGACCAUUAAUCAAUAUACAAUAAUGUAUCGAUAUAACUAUGGUAUGUUUACUAAUUAGUAAUCGGAAUGAGCCGGAAUCAGAAUGGAGUGGAAUUGGAAUGGACUUUAUUACUAUUGAUGUAUUUACUUUAUCUUGAAAUCAGAAUGAAUUAUCACAAGUUACUAAACCGACCUUAGUUGAUUAUUUCAUUAUUUAUAAUAAUAAUAAUAAUCAUCAUCAUCAUCAUAAUAUGAAUAAUAGUUAUUAUUAUUGUUAUUAUUAUUAUGGUGAUGAUGAUGACGACGAAAAUUUCAUUGUUGAUGACUUUAGGGAAUGACAUUCUUACUCCCAUCUCCCCCAUAGGAAUGGGAACUCUAGUAAUCAUUCCUAAUUUUAAGUGAGGCCCACAACUUUGAUUCUUAUUCUGCCUUUUAUUUAACUAGGUAAAUGUAUCAUUUAUUCAUAUUCCUUGAUUUUCAUUCCCAUUUCCAAUAGGUAAAUACAACACUAAUGUAUACAAUAAUGAAAUCGCAAUAGAUACGAAAUAGGAUAGAAGGGAAUAUUAUUCUUUGAAUAUAAUUUUUCUCUAUAAAUUCAAGGGAGUACUUUCUUUAACACAUAUAGUUAUUUUUCCUCUGCCCCCAAAUAUUUCACCAAUUUUACUGCAUACAUACUUGCUUCAACAACCAUCACGUGCUUUUAAUUUAUGGGAACUGGAAUAAAAUCCACCUACUGAUGCAUACACAGUUCUCUAAUCGGCUACUGCACUAUCAUCACGACAAACAAAUUAAGAAAGUGCUUUUGAUUCAAAGCACUGAAAGUAGAGUGAAUAUCUUUUGUUUUUAAUUGAUUUUUUUAUUUUAUUUUAAAUAUUUAUCGUCUUUUGUCUUUAUUUAAGAUUCAUAAUGUUUUAAUAGUUAAUGAAAUUAUCUAAAAUUAGACACUUCAACUAAGGGCAAGAUGAAAUCUUUUAAAAUUAAGUGAGGCAGUUUCAUAAUCCUAAUUUCAAUUGGGGCACUUUCUAAAAUAAUAAAUAAAAUACUUUUUUAAUUUAUUUAUAAUCAUCAAAAAAAUGAUUUCAGAAGUCAGGUAGGGCCGUGCCCCAACUAGUCCACUAUUGGAUCCAUCCGUGUAUAUACCAUGUCCAAAUAAUAAUAAUAAUAAUAAUAAUAAUAAUAAUAAUAAUAAUAAUAAUGGUAAUGGUAAUUUAUGUGAGAAUGUAGAUAUUUGUAUCUUUAAAAAUUAUUAUGAAUGCUCUUAUUUAAAUAAAAUAAUUCAUUAUAAAAAUAAUUGUAAUACUCAUAAGUUGAAUUACUAGUAAGAAUAAUCUAUUAUAAAAGGGAAAUUUACAAAAAUAACCAUAAAAGUUUUACUGUUUUCACAAUUAAUCCUUUAAAUUUUUUUCUAUCAACAUUAGCCAAACACACGCUUUUCUCCCCAAAUUACCCUUGUUUACAAAUCAAAAGCAACAGUCGUGGGUGAAUCUGGCGACAGGCGUCUAUCGCACCAAGCUUGGUGCGACAGACUGCCUGUCGCACAAAGCUACGUGCGACAGGCGCCUGUCGCACCAAGCUUGGUGCGACGGGCGCCUGUCGCACGAAGCUGUAAACUGAUUAUGGAUUAUGAAGCAAAUUCCAGAAUCAGGGAUCCUGUCUACGGCUGCGCCGGCACGGUUUGCCAUCUGCAGAAACAAGUCAGUGAGCUUCAGGCUGAGUUAGCCAAGGCACAGGCCGGGCUCGCUUCCAUGCAAAGCCAGCAACAAAAUUUGAUUGCUUUGAUUUGCAUGGAAAUGGCUCAAUCUCAAGAACAAGUCCUGCAUCGUCAUCAGCAGCAGCAGCUGCAACAGCAGUUCAUUGAUACAAGCUGUUUUUUGGACGAAUACAGUCUUGGCUCUACCUGGGAACCUCUCUGGACAUGAAGAGAAGUUAAAGCAAUAGGAGUGGUUGAAACUUUUGAUUUGAAGUUAAAGCUAAAUAACCAAAUGAUUUGAAUAAAUCUCGUUGAAGAGAAUAGAAGAUAAGAAAGAGGGAAACAUUUUUGCUUUUAUCGGAUUCUGUGCAGAAAGCCCUGCACCAUUCCACCUUCUUUCUUUUUCUUAAAAAAAAUAUAUAUAUAUUUGUUUCUAUAUCUUUCUUAGUUUCCUUCACCUUCGUUCACUCUUUUUCUGGUUUUGCCUUCAAACUCAUGUUCUGCAACUUUCUACACUAGCUCUCCUCAGUAGCUUGUUCUUACGCAGGGAUUGACUUCAAAGGAUGAAGAAUCCUAUUUAUCUAUCCAAAUUCGUUUAAAUUUCGCAGAAUUCAACUCUUGGAUAUGCAAACUUCAGUUACGCGUAAUUCAAGAUGAUAAAUUAUAACCAGCAUAUCAUCAAUAGACCAAAAGCACAUUGAAAUACUAGAUAUCUACAUAAAUUGGAAUUUAAAAAAAAAAAAAAUAUAAUGCUUUAAUGUAUUUACAAAAAUAAAUUUCUUAUUUUAGUGGAAUCGCUUGUGAAUUAACAUAUCAUUUGCUUGAGAAAAAGACCAUUAGUGCCGCCGACGAUGGGAGUUUCUUCGGUUUGGGAGAGAUGGGUGAAAGAGAGAUUGUUGGGGGAGAGAAGAGAGAGAGGGGUAUUUUGGUCUCAAAGGUUUUUUUAUGGCUAAUGUUGAUAGAAGUUUGUUUGGGGGGUUAAGAUGGAAAAAGCCAAAACUUUUAUGGUUAUUGGUGUAAAUUUCCCAUUAUAAAACAACAUUACAUAAUUACUCCGAACACUUGUAAAACGCACUCAAUGUAAACUUAUAUUAUUGGGAUGGAAUAAGCCUAUAAACAAGGAAAGCCAAAAUACUAAAAGAAUUAAUGAGCUACAUAGGUGUCUUGAUUGAAUUGACAGCGAGGAUAAACUCAAUUUCAAAAUUGAAUAUGCGUAUAAAAGUAUUAGUGGAUGAGAACAUGCAGAUAAAAACAGAAACUACAAUGAAAUUACUAUAAAAGCAAAUAAAUUAAUUAGGGAAUUAGUUUCUUUUCACCAAUUAGAUAACAAAUUCGAUAUACUUCAAAAGAAAUAAUACUUUAAAGAAUAUGAUCCUAGAUAAACAUAUUAGCAACAUUAUAGAUCACAAACUUUGGAAGUUGAUACACGGAGUUGAGUGCACAACUAUAUAAGGGGUUAAUUUUAUUUAUAUUUGUUAUCAAAUAUAAUUACAAUAAAAUAGAAGUUUUAUGAUAUUAAAGGAGAGCCUAACUCUUUAUUUUUAUCAUUUUAAAGACCUUCCUUCACCUUAUCCGUAUGUUCUUCCAAGUCAUUUUCAGCCGACCACUUUUAAGAUACUUUCACCACUGUUUACCGCCAACACAACAAAGGUCACCGAUUACUUUUAUUUAGGCAGCUGUUACCGGAGCAGCCGGUCGUCCUUUCUCACAUGUGUAACACACACAUGGUCCUCUACUUGUCAUUCCCACAAUUGGUCACUCAAGUCAAUAGCAAGAAGCAAAGAAAUCUGUCAAAAUCACUUCAGCUGCGUCAUGGCUGGAAAAACAAAUAAAUUAAUUAGGGAAUGAGUUUCUUUUAAUCAAUUAAGUAACAAAUUUGAUACUCAAAGGCAAUGUAAUGCACAAAAGAACCAUGAUCGUAGGUAAACAUGUUAACAAUAUUAUGGAACAAAAACUUCAGAAGCAGGCACCCGUCUGAGAUGGCCUCCUCACAUUUCAAACAAUUAUGCAAAUUUUAAAAGAGUGAUUUACACUUAUUCAAACGCCAUUUUCUUAGUUUUUUUUUUAGUACAUGAGACUAUUACUUAUAUUACAUGAGAUUAUAACUAAUAUUUACAAAUCAAAUUAUUAUUAAAAUUAGUUUACAUCAAUUUUUAUGAAGCACUGUCCAGAUUUUUAACCAUCACUAAUAUUGAAGGGAUGUAUACUCUACUCGCACUUGAUAAGAGAGAAGACUGUUUCCACUCAAUUAUACAUUAUAAAUAAGGAAUAAAUUACCCCCACAAUACGUUUGUGGGGUUUCGAACUACUAUCCUCACAUAAGGGCACCAGCCCUAACCUCCCAACCAAAGUCGAGUGGCUAAAAACCCAAAAAGUCAAUCAAUUAAGAAACACGUAUACUUAAAACACAAAUCAAGUACACUUUGCAAAUGAAAACAUGCCUGAACGAGACCUUUGCUUCUCUCCCCGACUAUGACACAAAACACCCCCCUCCCAAAAAAAAAUAACAAAGAAAUAAAUCACAACAAUUAUGCGAGAAAACGACAACGCUUUAAGUAUAAUUUCCACAUAUAUACCAACCAUUUUAUCCUUCUUUUUAUUUUUGUUCUUCAAUUUUUCUCCACUGCAGCCUGAGGAAGAUGAGAAUUUAUUUACAACGAUUAAGCCACAAAUAUUAUUAUACAAAAUAGUGUGCACAAAAUUCUUUUUUGGGUAAAAAAACAAGUCUAGUAUGUAUAAACUAAUGUGACAUAAAGAGAUUGACAGAAAAGGGAUAAUAAUUAUUUUUUAAAUUAUGUGGACUCACAAUAGUUUUCUACAUUUAAUCUCUUUAUGCUACAUCAUUUCGUACAUAUUUGUUUUUACAAGGUGAUUUUGACUUGUGACUAUCUUGUAUAUCAAAUAGCUUGAUUUCUCUAGUAAUCAGACUAGUUUUAUAUUAGUCUCAAAUAGGUCCCUAGCUCCGUUUAAUGAAUUACAUACCCUUAGCCUUAAACACCAAUUCUUACACCAUCAUAUGUCAUUGCCAAUGGUUCUUUGGUCAUUUAGAAUUAAAUAAGGACCUAAUUACAUGAAUGGACAACUAAAUCAAUACAUUACACCUUAUCACUUGAGCCUUAGACUCCCACUAAAAGGGGUGGACAUUUUGAUUUUAAAUUUUGGGUUAGUCAAAUCAUGAUUCGAGUUGGAAUCCGUUUGGGUUAGAGAAUUUAACCCAAACACAAAACAAACUUUAGCCCGAACCGAAUCAAACCAAAUUAUUCAAAUUGUUUGGUUUCUAAUUUAAAAACUAAACCAAACUUAAUUUUAGGAUCGAUUCGGUCAGAUCAAUCCAAACCGUUUGCCUACCUUAUUGAAUGGAAUAAACUUUUUACUAUUAUAUUAAUAAGAAAAUUAUUAAUCCUGAGUGUAGAUGUUGCUGACUGCCUUGAUAAAUCAUUUGUUCACAUCAAACUGAGGCAUGAGAUAAAUAAAGGUGUAGGAGAUCUAGAGGAAGCUGCAACAUACACAAAAGCAAUAUUAUAUGGAUACGCCAUGCCGAUACUGUGUGUGAAUGAAGAUUCACCAAUGGACUGGGGGAAUGCUAUAGCGAAACAAAUUAGUAGCUGACAAGGAUUAACAUGUCACAGAGUUAAUAGGGGGUUUUGCACAUCUUGAAAGAUCAGGCAAGACCACAAUGUUGAAGCUGGCCUAGCUACUUGAAAGAAACGAGUUACUUACUUCACUUUGGUGGAGUGCAAAUAUACCACCUACACUAUAUAUUGUUGAAAAGUCAAAAUGAGUCUCACAUGCACUGUCAAAUUGCCGAAAAUUUUGGAAGAGUUGGGAGUGUUGGAGUUGGGAUGUUACAGGUAUUUGUCGUAGCAGGAAUUGGAACAUGCAAGGGCUCCAUCAAGUUGCCCACCAUCAAAUCAGGUCAAAGCACAAAAUGUAUCAACAGAUGGAUAUGCAUUUCCUUUUGUUUGAGAUCUUGUGAGUACAAUGCUCUUAGUCCUUAAUACCAUACACAUAAACAAUGGCCUAUAUAUAAACACUGCUGUGAUUGAAGAAAGGCAGUAUUGUUAUCGCUGACUUUUACCAAUGGCCUUGAUGGACCAUUUCUUCGCAUCUAACUGAGGCAUAAGGGGUAUAAAGCCUAAGUGUAGGAGAGAAAGCCACAACAUAUGUACAAAAACACAAUAUGGAUAGACCUUAUUGAUCAUGCUGAGUUAAUUGAUCUCUCUGUGAAUGAAGAGGAUUCCCGUUAAUGCCACAGCGGAACCAAUUUUUAGGAACCAGGGUGGACAUGUCAAAUAGUGAACAGGGGUUUUAAAUCUUGAAGGGAUACAAGACCACAGUUUUGAAGCUCACCUGGCUGCCUGAAACAAGCGAGUUAGUUAACGACGUUGGUGGAGUUCGACCCUAUAAUUAAUUGACUAAUAUCACAAAGAAAAAGGUAUAUUGGUUAUCAGAAUUUUGCAUCCACUUGAGCCAUUCUGAAUAGUGAACUUUUCUUGCAAUGUGAAUAUGUUUUGUUUUGUUUUUUUCCUCCCUUUUUCUGAAGGCCUGAGAAUUUGUUCUUAAACCCGACUUAAUCUAAUAAGCUUGCUGCAUGCUAUAGUCAGCGUAGGAUCUGGUGUCUCGACCAUGUGAUCUUUUUCCUCGAGUUGCUUGUGCCUAAAGAUGCAAGUAGCUAUGCGGAUUCCAACCUCUGAAUUCUAAUCAUCCAUGUGUUUUUGUUCUUAGUCACAGCAAUCACGAACAUACACUAAUUUGGUUCAAGAGGUAAGACCACUUGAGAUAGUACGCAAAGCCGUUAAACCCAAAAUUAUUAAGACUUAAGGUGGAUUCAUAUACUUUGAACUAGUCUGCUUUCUAUAUCACAUGGAUUCAAAUUUGAAAUUGGGCCAACCUCUUUUUUUUUCAAAAAAGAAAAGAAUUAAUUUUCCCUAUUAAGGUUUUCUCAUUGUUAAUGGAACCGGAGUCUCUGACAAGAGGAAUUUUAAAAUACGUCAGAUGUAAUACAAUCAAUCAAUGCAUCUAUAAUAUGUGUGGUUGAAUUUUAUAUAGCCACCAAUUAUAUGCUGAUUCUUCAAAAUAAUUACACAUAUAUCAUAACAUCAUUUACUUAUUGUAUGACUAAUAUAAUACCUCAAAGAUAUUUUAAAAAUUUUCCAUAGACAACAGUCAAUCAAGGGUAAAUCUUAAAUUACGUCAGAAAAAGUCUUUGAAAAAUAUUGAAGAAAGCAUUUACUUGUAUAAUAAAAAAUGCAUAUGAGGGGACAAAAAGAGUGAAGGUACGAGUUUCACUAUUAUCACAACAUUUAUUACUAUUUCAAACAUAGAAAUGUGAACAAUAAUGUAUUUUGUCGAAUUUUCUCUGUUGGUUAUUAAAAUUACUAUGUGUACAUGUGAUGAUUGCUUGCUACUGUGCAAUCCGAUAAUUUGACUUGGAGAAGUAAUCAUAGAAAUGUGAUGAUUACUUGGAGGAGAUUACUCCUAGACUGGCAAUAUUGGUCGUUAGGUUUCUUUGUAGAGCUGACGACAAACUUAUGAAAAUAACGUGACAUAUUGAUACACAACAACAAUAAUGGCAGUGCCAAUCUAUGCAGUGUACAAAAUGAUAUGGCCAAUUUUAAAAUGCGGAACAAAUGCGGAGACCAAAGAGACUGCAGAAACAGUCCCUGAGACAACAGCAAUAAGACAUCAAAAUUGGGAAGAAUUUUCUCAAUGAAGUCGAGACGUCAGGUCACCUAAAAAUGGAUAACAAUAUAUGGUUGUGACUAUCAGAAAAGACCAUAUGCUCGUUGAGUGUGUUUCAAGCAAGGGCUUUGUUUGGCCUUGCACAUAUGCACCCACAAUGCCGAUGAGUGCCGGAAUCAAAUAUCAAAAAAUGUUGAGAUAUGAGAUCGAGCAGAAGAGAUUUCGCCCACUGCAAAAUCAUUAAAAUGAAUAAUCAUCUUCUGUAUAUCCCAUUUCUUUUGAAAAAAAAAAUUAAAAUUAAAAAGACGCUAUAUUAAGUUCCACUCAAAUUGUCUGUCAAUUAUUUGCUUUCAACAAAUCCAAUUCUCCUAUAAAAAUUUGAUGAAGUGCUUUUCUAGUUUCCUUAACAUAUAUGAAAUAUUUUUCAUCUGUAACCCUGUUUCAUCAAAAUUUUACUAUAUACACGCUUGUUUCAACAACGAUCACCAUCACCCUUUAGUGUUACAUAUUGUUGUUGUCGUUAAUUUUGACAAUUUUGACGAUAAAAUAUAAAUUUACCCUCAUUUGAAUUUUGAAAUGUAAAAUUAUCAUAAAACCAUAACAAUAGUUUCAAAUUCCAGUUGACCUGUGCGGAAAUUAAAAUUUCUUAAAGGUUAGAAAAAAGUAAAAAUGUUUUGUUAUGGAAUCAAAAUAUCCCCUCUACCAUCAUCCAUAAUUAUCUAUUCUUGAUAACAAUCUAAUAAACUUGAAAAAGCAAUACAUCCAAUCCCUGUCAAUCAAACAGCCAAACUUCUUCAUAAAGUUUAGCUUUUACUUCUGAAAAUUCUAAUUCUUGAGACCCUAAAUAAAUGGAUAUUCAAAGUUACAUGUUUCUAGAACGAAAAUCUUCAAUUUAGUCCUUUUAAAUUUUGAAAACAUUAAUUUACAUCUAUUUAUCAGUCAAAGGAUUAGAAUAAAUGGAGGCACAUUGAUGACAAACUUUUUAUCUUAUUAAUGGUAUUUGAUAAAUAUAAAUAAAUUGAAAAUUGUCAUUUUAAGUGGAGGUAAAUUAAAAUUUUACUCUGUAUUUAUAGUGCUUUAGUAAGAGAAAGAAAGAAAACAGAAAACAAAUCUCUUCAACGGGAGGCUGAACAAAAUUUUCAGUAGGGACUCAACCAAUUUUUUUCACGGAAAUUUAAUUAGGAGAACAAAAACAAUUUGAAGUGGACCGCAUAUAUUUACUAAAAUAUAAUAUACAAAUUUGAGUCAAUAAUGAUAAAGAAAAUGACCAUACACAGAAGGGUUUGGAUUUGGAUGAUAAAGAAUCCAGUGGCAGCUCCGUAUUUGCGCAUAUAUAUAUAUAAACCCUGGAUUGAGUUUUCUUUUUAGCGAAUAACGUAGGGAACAGAAAACCUGAUCAAUUUGAAAAAAAAAAAGUAAUAAUAAUAAUUAAAUAAAAAAAUUAAAAUGUAACCUCAGCUUGAAACUUGGGAAUGGGAGGAUAAAAGGAAAAGGACAAUAAAAAAUAAAACUCUCACUUUAAGAACAUCUCAACUAUCUCUGCUUAAAAAAAUUAUCUCAUCUCGUGUGUGUGUGUGUGUAGGUAAAACGAGCCUCAUUUUUUAAUUCAAUUUAAUCUCCAAUCGUGAAAAUUUGGUUAAGCUAAAAUGCGGUGCGACCGGGGGGAGUUUCGUCGGAAGGUAAUCGGAUAUUAAAACGAACUCAAUAAGUUAUCAUGAAGCCUAUCGGCAUCAUACUGAAUUACUGAUGCAAAGACAAGCGUUGAAAAUGACUUCUCAGUUUCCAUUUCCCUGUUCCCAUCAAGGGUCAAAGGGCUCCAUUAGCUGCGCGUAAAGGGCCCCAGUGGGAAAUUUAAUCGGUAAGGGGUCCCAGUCAAAAAUGUGAAGGCAUUAAACAAUAGGGGUAAUUUGGGUAUUCGUUUAUUUAAUUUAAUUCGAUUUAAAGUAAAUAAGUUUGAGUUUAAAAAAAAUUAAUUUAUUUAAUAAAUGGUGAAUUCGACUUCAUUUUCACUUUUAGGUUAAUCUGUAUUAAUUAUUUUUAUACUUAUUUAAUUCUUUAUUUAUUGUUAUUGAAGUUUGUCCAGUCAUUUAUUUAUAAGUUUUUCUUUUAUGGAUAUAGUUUAAUAAUUUGGUUGAUGAUUAUGUUAAUCAAUUCUUUUAGGCUCAAUAUUUGAUUCUCUAAUCAUUUAAUUUAGACUUUGAAUUAAGUGUCUAUUUCUUUUUACAGUUCUAAGAGUUGGUUUUGUAGGUUGGACUUGAUCCUUUCAAAACGGUGUUAUUUAUUCAUUAAGUGUACAUGAUUUCUUUAAGAUACUGACAGCCAAAGGGAGAAAAAAAGAAAAAAAGAUUGGAAUGCAUAUAAAGAUACAAAUUAACGAUGAAAUAUGUAGGGAUAACCAAAAAUAAACAAAUAGUUAAGCAACUUUUCUUGAAUCUAUAGAUUUUUUUUUUUUAUCUUCUCAUAUUUUUUACAAAAUUAUUUGAAGAAUUAUUAUAUUUUUUAAUAUAAGAAUUUAUUAAAGUUGAUUAAUUAUUAUGCUCUCUCAUGCAAGCAAGAAUCAUUAAUGAAUAUGUGAUGAUUUGAUUAUUAGGUGUCCAAUAAUAUCCUACAAUAGCUUUUUUUUUUUUUUUUGAUACACUUAUAUAGUACAAUUAGAAUUUUUACUGAUAUUUACAAUCAGAAAUUAGUCGGAACCAUCCUGAAUAAGCCUAUUACAGCACAACCCGAAGUCAACGCUCACUUAAAAGCUGGAGGUGAUCAAUCCUACCCCAAUGUGGGUAGAUAACUAACCCCUAUUAUAUAGGGGAGUCAAUCCUACAAUAGCUUAUUGAAUUGCAAUACUUGGAUUAAAUCUCUUAAGAAAUUGGCUUUCUCAUCUUGUUGCAGAACUCAGUUAGCAACUUAAACACUAUUUCAUGUUGUUUGUCAAACUUUAUCCCUCUUAUUUUGCCUUGUGUCUUCUUCUUAGUCUAAUAAACUGCAUAUAAUAUUAUUACGUAUGAAUACAAGAAAUAGGAAAACAUAUAUAUAUAUAUAUAUAUAAUAAAAAAAUUUAAUAUUACCAGAAAUGUCUAGAGCACUAGGUAGUGCAACAUAUUUGUCAUUUAUUUGUAUAUACAUCAACUGUUGGAGAUGUUUGAAAGAAAUAUGAUCCAAGAGCCAUGCUACAAUGUAUUAUAAUUAUAUAAACCAAAUGACUAAACCAACUAUAUAAAUUCUUUCUCGCAAACAAGAUGAAGCACUAGAAAGUCAGCCAUAAGAUGUGCUUACCAUUUGGUUUCUUUUUUUUUUCAAAGUGAGUUUCAUAGUCUUUUUAUGUUAAAAAUCAACUUUAGUAUAUUAUGUGAUGAUUUUUCAAGUUGGAUUAUUUUAUUAUACUUUGAUUAAUUUUAUUAGUAUCCGAUCAUAUUAUGCAUUGUCGCACAAAAGGUUCUCGUACACAAGUUAUUUUUAAUUUAAAGUUUUUGUUAUUAGAUUUCAAUUUGUAGGACUGAAAUUUGUAAUCACGACUACUUAUUCUUAACAAUGAGACAAAAAGUUUUCUAAUACAAUAUAUAACUUGCCAUUUGCCAAAAAGGUAAUGGUCAGAAGAUAACAAUUUUUCGACUAAAAAUUUUUUCAUCACUGGAUAUCAAUUUACGUGACUAAAAUACGUCAUCAUAGAUGCUUGCUUUAAAUGAUGGUUAAAAAUAGUCAUUAAACUUUUCAGUUAUAAUGUAAAUAGUCGUGAAAAAAAAAUAUUGUUGUUAAAAAUCAUUUAAGACAAUAUUUAAUCUACUUUGCAACAAAAGAAACAGUCACAAAAUAACAUUUUUCGAUUCAAAAUUGUUUUGCCACGAGAUAUCAAUUUAAGUGACUAACCAUUGUAGUUGUGGAUGUAGGGAUGGCAAUGGGGCGGGGUGGGGGUGGGGAUGCCUACCCCAUUCCCCACCCCAUUAAAAAAUUUUGCCUCCAUUCCCCAAUAAAUUUAGUGGGUUGGGGAUGGGGAAUCCCCACGUGGGGAAUGAUUCCCCCAUCCCCACCCCAUUCCCCAUUUACAUAUUUUAUAGUAGAUAUAAAAAUAUGAUUUCAGUAAAUUAAAAAUUAGAGACUUAAGAUAAAAUCAUCACAAUAUUAUAAAGUAUUUAAUUUUUUUAAAAAAUCUCUAAAAAUUUGAAACAAUAUCUUAAAAUGAUAUUAAAAGUGAAAAAUAUUUAAAGAAAACAGCACCUUAAAAGAGAAAAGAAAAUAUAUUAAUGUUUUAAAGUUAAAAAAUAUUGUAGAAUUUUCUUUUAUUCAUAUUCUAUUUAUAUUACAUAAAAAUUAAAAAAAAUUAUUAAUUGACAUUAUAGUUGAUAAAAUACAAAUUAUUAAAUAAGAAUUAAAAACAUAUUUAUAUAUAAUGGGAAUGGGGAUUGGGGUGGGGGUGGGGUGGGGAGUGCAAUACCAAACCCUACCCCGUUAACAAUUUGGGGAUUACUUUUCCUCCACUCCCCACCCCAUUCCCCAAAAAUUAUUAAAAAAUUUCCCCAUUUGGGGUGGGGCUCCAUGGGGCCCCAAACCCGUGGAGGAUUUUGCCAUCCCUACGUGGAUGUUUGCUUCAAAUACCGAGAAAAUAGUCACCUGGAUUUUUCUGAUACGAUGUUACUAGUCAUAAGUGACAACUUGACAAUAAUAUAACGUCGUGAUAGGUAUACUUUAGCGACAAAAACAUAAUGUUGCUAAUUAUAUUUUUGAACCUCUAAAUUGAUGAUUUUGAGUAGCAAUUACUACUAUUUUUACUUACCCUUGAGACAAACAUUUUAGUCACUAUAAAUCACUAAUAGUAACGAAAAUAUAAUGUCGCUAAUUGCACUUUUGACUUUUGAACAUCUAAAUUGACCACUUUGAAUAUCAUUCACGAUGUGUUUAAUUUAAAUUUAGGACAAAUGGUUUAGUCAUAAAAACAUAUUAUUUUAUGUGACAAAUAAUUUUGGUUGCUAUAACCUAAUGUGACACACUUAGUGUGUUACUUUUUGUUAUUCCUGGAUUUGAAAGACAAUUAAUGGUGCACUUACUAAACGAGAGUCGGAAUGGGGUAGAAUCAGAAUGAAUUGGAAUCGAAAUGAGGAAUGAGAAUCAUAAUAAAUUGUGUAUUUUAUUUGUAGGAAUCAAAUUUGGAAUGAGCUGAAUUGCAAUUGAUGUGUUUACUUUGUCUUGGAAUUUAAAUAAGAAUGAAUUAGAUUGUUGUAAAUUACUAAAAAAAAAUUAAUUAACUAUUAUCAUAAUUAUUACUUUUUAUUUUAAUUAUUGUGAUUAUUAUUAAUAAAUAUUGUUAAUGAUAAUUAUUAUUAUUAACAUUAAUAUAAUAAUAAUGGUGAUGAUGAUGAUCAUCAACAAUAUCAUUGUUGGCAUAAUCAUCAUCAACAAUAUCAUUGUUGGCAUAAUCAUCAUCGUCGGCAUUAGAUUAAAACGCGACGGCUACUGUUGCUGCUUGUGACACAACGGCUGCUCAUGACUACUAGAUGUGACGAUUGGCAACUAGUUGUUGCUCCACAAGCAAUGACCGACAGCAACAAGGGAGCUCAUCCACGGAUUGCGUGCUUUUUUUUUAACUGAGGACAAAGUUGGGAUUAUUGAUUAUGUUGGGGGGCAAAAUUGUCACUCCUGGGAAUGAGAGACUAAUUCCCACCCCCUUGGGAAUCAGUCUCUCAUUUCCUAUUCCUAAAUUUGGGUGGGCUCCAUGAUUUCAAUUUCAAUAUUCGCUCUUUUUAUAAAGUAAAUGUUAUCAAUGAUUUCGAUUUUGGAUUCUAAUUCCCCAAUUUAGAAAUUAAACACACCAUAAGUGUAAUUUAUAUUAUGGCAGUUUCAUGGUCGAAAAAUUUCGGUUCGAUUUGGAAUGCCUAUCCCUCUAAUGUUUCACACACACAUGGUCCUCUACUUGUCAUUUCUACAAUUGGUCAUAUGUUUCUAGUCAAUUGCAAGAAGCAAUGUACUCUAGCUAAGUACAUGCAAAGGUCAAAAUCUUAAUCUUAAUUAAUUAAGAUUUAAUUUAUUUUAUAUUUUUAUCUAAUAACUAUCAAUUAUUUUUUCAUAAUAAUUAGAAAAAAAAAUUAGUUUAGUAUUGAAAUCAAAUCCACAUUAGAGUUGGGAUGUUACAAAUAUUUGUCAUAGCUGGAAGUUGAACAUGCAAAGGUUCCAGCAAGUGCCUACCAUCAAACUAGGUCAAGGUACAAAAUGCACCCAACAGAUGGAUAUGCAUGUCCUUUUGUUUGAGAUCUUGUGAGUACAAUGCUCCUAAUCCUCAAUACCACAUACAUAAAAAAAAUGGCCUAUAUAUAAACGCCGUUGUGAUUGAAGAAAAGCGGUAUUGCUAUUACUUACUCUUGCCAAUGGCCUUGAUGGACCACUUUUUCACAUCAAACUAACGCAUAAGAGGUAUAAAGCCUAGGUGUAGGAGAGAAAGCCACAACAUAUAUACAAAAACGCAAUUUGGAUAGACCUUGCCGAUCAUGCUAAGUUAAUUAAUCUGUCUGUGAAUGAAGAAGAUUCACCCUAAUUAAUGCUGAGUAAAUUAUUAGUAACCAGGAUGGACAUGUCAUAUGGUUAAUAGGAGCUUUAAAUCCUGAAACUCACCUGGCUACCUGAAUCAAGUGAGUAAGUUAACCACUUUGGUGGAGUUCGACUAUCUAGUUGACUAAUAUCUCAAAGAAAAGGGUAUGUUGAUUAUCAGAAUUUUACAUUCAGUUAAGCCAUUCUGAACAGAGAACUUUUCUUGCAAUGUGAAUUUGUUUUGUUUUUUUUUUUCUCUUUCCUUUUUCUUGAAGGCACGUGAAUUUGUUCUUAAACCCAUCUUAAUCUAGAUAAGCUUGCUGGAUGCUAUAGUCAUCACAGGAUCAGGUAUCUCAAUCAUGUGAGAUUUUUCCUUGGGUUGUUUGUGCCUAAAUAUCCAAGUAGCUAUGCCUGUUGUUGCCUCUGAAUUCUGAUCAUCUAUGCGUGUUUUUUCUCAGUCACAGCAAUUGCGAACAUACACUUAGUUAGUUCAACCAGUAAGAUUUCUUGAGAUAGUACGUAAAAUCGUUAAAUCAAAAUGAUUACGACCUAAGGCGGAUUCAUUUACUUUGAACUAGUCCUCUUUCUAUGUGGAUUACAAUUUGAAAUUAGACGAACCUAUUUUUUCAUUCAGAAAGAAAAAAAAAAUAUUUUUUUCCCUAUUACAGGUUUUCUCAUUGUUGAAGUAACUAGAGUCUCUCACAAGAGAAAAUCUAGAAUACAUCAGAUGUAAUACAACCAAUUAAUGCAUGUAUGAUAUGUGUAGUUGAAUUUUAUAUAAUCAUCAAUUACAUGUUGAUUCUCAAAGUAAUUGCACAUAUGUUAAAACAUCAUUUACUUGUUGUACAUUAGAUAUAAUACAACCAAUUAAUGCAUGUAUGAUAAGUGUAGUUGAAUUUUAUAUAACCACCUAUUACAUGUUGAUUCUCAAAGUAAUUGCACAUAUGUCAUAACAUCAUUUGCUUGUUAUAUGACUGACAUAGUACCUCAGAGAUAUUUCAGAAUUUUUCCGCUAACAAUACUCAAUCAAUGGUAAAGUUUAAAUUAUGUCAGAAAAAACAUUUGCACAAUUAUUGCUAUUUCAAACAUAGAAAUGUGAAGAGUACUAUAUUUUAUGGAAUUUUCUCCGUUAAUUCUUAAAAUUACUACGUGUACAUGUGAUGAUUGCUUGCUACUGUGUAAGGUGAAACAUUUAAUUUGAAGAAGAUUAAUUCCUUCUAGACUGGUAGUAUAGGUCGUUGCUGCCCUGUCGAGGAAUUCUUAUUAGCUUGAAACCUAUCGCAAAUGUCAAUGCAAAAUGGCUUCAAGGUUUUGUUGUAGAGCUGAUGACAAGCUUCUAAAAACAACAUACCAUAUUGGUACACAACUACAAUAAUGGUAGUCCCAAUCCAUGCAGUGUACAAAAUGAUAUGGUCAACAUUAGAACGUUGAGCAAAUGUAAAGACCAAAGAGAUUGCAGAAAUAGAUCCUAAGACAAUAGCAACAAGGCUCCACAACUGGGAAGAAUUUUCUCCAUGAAGUCGAGAUCUCAGGUCAGCUGAAUGUGCAUAGCAAUAUACGACUGUGGCUAUCCGAAAAGACCAUAUGUCCGUUGAAUGUGUUUCAAGCAAGGGCUUAGUUUAGUCUUGCAUAUUUGCACCCACAAUGCCAAUGAGAGCUGGAAUGAGAUAUCCAAAAAUAUUGGCAUAUGACAUGGAGCAGAAGAGAUUUUACCCACUGCAAAAUCAUAAAAAUGCAUGAUUAACCAUCUUAUGUAUAUCCCAUUUCCUUUGAAAAAAAAUAAAUGAAACUUAAAAAGACCCCAUAUUAAUUUCCAGUCAAAUUGUCUGUCAAUUAAUUAUUUGUUUUUCAAAGAUGCAAUUCUCCUCUAAAAAUUUGAGGGAGCGCUUUUCUAUUUUCAUUAACACAUACGAGAUAUUUUUCAUUUGCGUCCAAAUGUUUCACCAAAUCUUAUUGUGUGCACAUCUGUUUCAACAACUCUCACGGCUCACCGUUUUUGUUAAAUAUUGUUGUUGCCGUUAAUUUUGACAAUUUUGAUGUUAAAUGAUAAUUUUACCAGUCAUUGGAAUUAGGUGUAAAAUUACCAGAAAAUCACGACACUUGUUUCAAAUUCGAAUUUUGACCUAUGUGGAUAUUAAAAUUUCGUAAAGGUUUUUUUUUUUUUUAAAAAAAAAAGAAGUGUAAAAAUGUUUUCUUAUGGGAAUCAAAACAUCCCCUCUACCAUCAUCCAUAAUCAUAUAUUCUUGACAACAAUCUAAUAAACUUGAAAAGCAAGAAAUCCAAUCCGAAUCAAUAAAACAAUCAAAUUUCUUCAUAAAGCUUAGCUCUUGCUUUUGAAAUUUCCAAUUCUUGAGACUCUAAAUAAACCGAUAUUCAAAAUUACAUAUUUCUAGAAUAAAAACCUUCAAUUUACCCCUUUAAAUUUUUGAAAACAUCUAUUUGCCUCUAUUUAUCAGUCAAAAGAUUAGAAUAAAUGGAACCCCGUUGAUGACUAACUUUUUAUAUGCUUAAUGGUAUUUGAUAAAUAUAGCUAAAUUGGGGUAAAUUGAAAUUUUAUUCUACAUUUAGAGUGCUUUAAUAAGAGAAAGAAAGAAAGCAGCAAACCUGAUCUAUUUUAAUAAUAAUAAUAAUAAUAAUAAUAAUAAUAAUAAUAAUAAUAAUAAUAUUAUUAUUAUUAUUAUUAUUAUUAUUAUUAUUAUUAUUAUUAUUAUUAUUAAAUAAAUAAAUAAAUAAAAUUAACAUGUAAACUCAGCUUGAAACUUGGGAGAAAUAAAUAUGUGAAUUUUAUUACAUGUUGAUUCUUCAAAUUAAAAUGUAAACACACUCAAUAAACAUUAGACAUAAUACAACUAAUUAAUGCAUGUAUGAUAUGUAUCAUUGAAUUUUUUUACAUGCUGAUUCUUCAAAUUAAUUGCACACAUAUUAGAAAAUCAUGUGUUUGUUGUAUGAUGGACAUAGUAUCUAAAGAUAUUUUAAAAUUUUUCCUCUGAUAAUGCUCAAUCAAAUUAAGGGUAAAGGUUAAAUUAUGAUAGAAAAAGUCUUUGAAUAAUAUUGAACAAAGCAUUUACUUGUAUACUAAAAGAAUGCAUAUGAGGGGCCAAAAAGAGUGAAGAUAUGAGUUUGACUAUUAUCACAUCAAUUAUUACUAUUUCAAACAUAGAAAGAUGAAACUAACAUAUUUUGUGGAAUUUCCUCUGUUACUUACUUAAAAUUACUACGUUACAUGUGAUGAUUGCUUGUUAUUGUCUAAGGUGAAACAUUUAAUUUGAAAAAGAUUAGUUCCUUCUAGAUUGGUAGUACUGAUUGUUGCUGCCCUGUCGAGGAAGUAUUAUUAGCUUGAAACCUAUUGCAAAUGUCAAUGCACAAUGGCUUCAAGGUUUCGCUGUAGAGCUGACGACAAGCUUCAGAAAACAAUGUCCUGUAUUGAUACACAACAAUAAUGACAGUGCCAUUCCACGCAGCGCACAAAAUGAUAUGGCCAGUAUUAGAAUGUGGAAAAAAGGUGGAGAUCAAAGAGAUUGCAGAAGUAGAUCCUGAGACAACAGCAACAAGGCACCAGAACUGGGAAGAAUUUUCUCGACGAAGUCGAGACUUGAGGUCCACUGAAUGUGCAUAACAAUAUAUGACUGUGGCAAUGAGAAAAGACCAUAUAUUUAUUGAGUGUGUUUCAAGUAAGGGCUUAGCUUGGUUGCCUUGCGCAUUCGCACCCACAAUGCCGAUGAGAGCCGGAAUGAGAUAUCCAAAAAUAUUGGGAUAUGACAUCGAGCAGAAGAAAUUUCGCCCACUGCAAAUCAUUAAACUGCAUGAUUAACCAUCUUCUAUAUAUCCCAUUUCCUUUGAAAAAAAAAAUAAUAAAUAAAACUUAAAAAAGACCUCGUAUUAAUUUCCACUCAAAUUGUCAGUCAAUUAAUUUAUUACUUAUUUUCUUUUGGCUGAUGUAAUCUCCUCUAAAAAUUUGAGAGAGCACUUUUCUAUUUUCAUUAGCACAUGUAUAUGAGAUAUUUUUCAUCUGCGUCCAAAUUUUUCAUUAGAUUUUAUUGUGCGCGGACUUGUUUCAAUAACUCUCAUGACUCACCUUUUUUGUUAAAUAUUGUUGUUGCCAUUAGUUUUGAUGAUUAGUGUAAAAUUAUUAGAAAACCACAACACCUGUUUCAAAUUCCAAUUUUGACCUACAUGGAAAUUAAAAUUUCUUAAAGGUUAAAAAAAAGAGUAAAAAUGUUUUCUUAUGGGAAUCAAAAUAUCCCCUCUACCAUCAUCCAUAAUCAUCUAUUCUUGAUAUUAAUCUAAUAAACCGAUAUUCAAAAUUACAUGUUUCUAGAAUGAAAAAAACUUCUAUUUAUCCCUUUAAAUUUUUUAAAACAUCUAUUUACCUCUAUUUAUCAGUCAAAAGAUUAGAAUAAAUAGAAGCGCGUUGAUGACUAACUUUUUAUCUGCUUAAUGGUAUUUGAUAAAUGUAGAUAAAUUGGGGUAAAUUGAAAUUUUAUUCCACAUUUAGAGUGCUUUAAUAAGGGAAAGAAAGAAAACAGAAAACAAAUCCCUUCGAUACGAGGCUUAACAAAAUUUUCAGCAUGGACCUAACCAAAAUUUUUUCACGCGAAUUAAAUUAGGAGAACAAAAACAAUUUGAAAUGGACUGCAUAUGUAUACUCAAAAAUAAAAUACAGCUUGAGUCAAUAAUGGUAAAGAAAAUGACCAUACACCGAAAGGUUUGGAUCUUGAUGAUGCAGAAUGCAGUGGCAGCUUUGCAUUUGCAUUUAUAUACCUCGCCAAACCCCGGAUUGGGUUUUCUUUUUCACGGCAAAUAAGGCAGGGACAAGCAAACCUGAUCGAUUUUAGAACAAAAAUAAUUAAAUAAAUAAAUAAAAGUAAAAUGUAGACUCAGCUUGAAACCUUGGAGAAAAAAAUAACAAUAACAAAGUAAAAAAAAUCACUUACCUUAAGAACAUCUCAAUUAUCUCGUGGAUUGGGUGUUUAUACGGGCAAAAUGAGGGCCAAUUCAACCCCAAUGUAAUCCCGAUUCCGGAACACGUUUGGUCAAGCUCAAGUGCGGCCGAAUGGGGAGGGUUUCCUAGAAAGGUCGCACGGUAGUCCCCCUUAGAAAGUGAAAAUGAAGCCUAUCCUCAAUCAUACUGAUGCAACACAAGGGAGAUUUUUUUUUGGUUAGAUGUAGAGAAUGAUUAAACAGGUCCCAUCAAGUUCAGCGGGCAAGGGCCCCCCGGUAGCUACACGUGAAGAGGGGGCCCCCAGCGCCCCGGCGGGGAAAUUUAAGUGGUACGGUGCCAAUUAAAAUGUGAUUAACUUAUCAAAUAUCAAGAUUUUUUCCAAUAAGGACAUUAGUUUUGCAUUCGUUCGUCUCAAUUAAAUGGUACGGUCCAAUUAAAAUGUUACUAACUUAUCAAAUAUCAAGAUUUUUUUCCAAUAAGGGCAUUAGUUUUGCAUUCGUCUCAAAUAGGUCCCUAACCUUGUAUGACGACUAAGAUACCCUUAGGCGUUAUAUAACUUAGGAAAAUGAUGUUUGUCUCGGGUUAAAUCCCAAAAAUAACUUAAACGGCGUCGUUUUGAGUUUUUUUUUUCUUUUUUAUACUCCAAAACGUUGCCGUUUCUGAUGGACGAUUUUGAGAAGAAUUAAACAAACCUCUUCCUCUUCGUUUCUUCGUUUCAGCUGGGAAAGCCACAGAUAGAAGAGCAAGUUCGUUAAAAAAAUUUGUUUUUUCGUUUCUUCGUUUCUUCGUUUGUUAAAAAAUUUCGUUACUUUCCUUCCUCGACCAAGGUCCAGGCAUUCGGGAUCCACCAACGGUCACCGUCAACGCUGACAGCCACGGUCACCGUCAACGCUGACAGCCACGGUCACCGUCAACGCUGGUAACGCUGGUAGCCGAAACUUGUUUGGGAAAUUAAACUCACGAAGCGGCAAAGUUCACAGCCUGAGGUAAUGCUUCGUUUUUUCCUCUUUAGGUUAUGGCAAAAUGGGGAAGAUCUAGGUUAGGACAGUUAUGAUUAUUUUUCGGCUGAAUUUGGAUAGCUAUUGUGAUUCCCGUUUUAUUUAAGUGUGUUAAAUUGCAAUUGAUUUUCGGCUGAAUUUGGGUACAAUUUUGAAUUUGCUAAUGUUGAGGUUGAGGAUGAGGAUGAGGAUUAGUAUUAUUGAUGGAGGCUUCUAUUGUGUGCAUUUUGGUAUAUAGAUUGUGUGCAUUUUGGUAUAUAGAUUGCUGGCUGGCUGGUUGAUUGUCGAAUUUAUUGGUAACUUGUUGAACUUGGUUGCUGGUUGUUUGCUUGUACAGUUUAUUGGUAACUUUGUUGAACUUGGUUGCUGGCUGGUUGCUGGUUGCUUGUAGCCUUUCUGGCAUAUUGGUUGUAGUUUCAAACCUUUGUGAUUGUGUGUGUGUGUGUGUGUGUGUCUGUGUGUGUGUGUCUGUGUCUCUGUGUGUGUGUGUGUGUGGUUCUGUGUGUGUGUGUGUCUGUGUGUGUGUAUGGUUGUGUGUGUGUGUGGUUGUGUGUGUGUGUGUGUGUGUGUGUGUGUGUCUGUGUGUCUGUGUGUGUGUGUCUGUGUGUCUGUGUCUGUGUGUCUGUGUCUGUGUGUGGUUCUCUGUGUGUGUGUGUGUGUCUGUGUCUGUGUUUUGAAUGUUUGGAAGAGGUUUUAGUAUGUUAUCUGUUUUUGGAAUAAUAGUUUCCCACCAUACCAAUAAAUCAGGGCUGCAUUGGCUGCCGUCAGGAACUGCCUGAUAAAUAAUUCGAGCCCUGCAUACCAGGAUUGCUUCUGGCUUUCUUUUUUGGGGCUUAUCUCUGUAUGCUUAUGAAGUUUCAGAAUCAUUUGUAAAUCAAAUGCUGUAAUGAUGUUGUGGUUUCCAACAGCCUCACUUGCUAAUCCACUGCUCUUGCUCUUGCUCUGCCAACAACCAAUAUGCCAGAAAUAACACACACACACACAGACACACACACACACACACACACACACACACAGAACCCCACACACACACAUACACACAGAACCACACACACACACACAGAGAACCACACACACACACACAGACAAACACACACACACACACAGAGAACCACAGACACACACACACAGAACCAUACACACACACAAGACACACACACACACACAGAAUUUGACACACAUUGUUCUGGUUUUCUUUUCAUUAUUAACUGUAAUUGUAUCCCUUUUCGGCAGUUUCUUUCCAACGGUAUAUGGCUUCACAAACAAUGUCAUCCAACACAAGCGAGAAUCGAAUGUGUAAUGGAUGCGGUGAUCAGAUGGAGCUGUUAACGUCACACAUAACAAAAAAUCCAAAUCGCAAAUUUUGGAUUUGUAGAGGAUAUAACAACUUUCAAUGGGCAGAAGAUCGUAAAUCUAGCGAAGAGAAGAUAAACUUGUUAGUGGAUGAGGUUAGGAAGUUGGCCUUGGAGAUUGAGUGUUUGGCCGUAAAAUUUCAAUUAUUGCAUAAAGAACUUGAGCAUAUGCGAGAUCGUGAAGUGCAGAGGCAAUUGUUGGACAACGAACUUCGAAAGAGAGAGGCACCACGAUAUGAUUUUAUUAAAUUAAUCAUGAUUGUUGUAUUAUGUUAUCUAUUUAAGUACUGUUUUUAAGUUGUUUGUAUUUGUACUAUGUUACUGGAAAAUACUUCUAUUGUAGAAUUUGACCACGAUAUGUAAUAACAUUUUCAUGUAAUAACAUUUUCAUGCAAUGCUCGGACUCACGGCAUGGUUGUGUUCAAGGAUCAAAUUUCCAAUUACCCAUUUUCCACUAACAAUAUCCAAACGUCCUCCAAUUUUAGCAUUGCAUCCAAUUUUUUGGUUUGGUUGAAGCCGCAAAACAUUAGUGGCUUUGGCUUUUGACUUCCCGUUUCUCCCACAAGUAAAUGUAACAUAUCUCAAACUCCCAUCUUCCCCUUUUCUACAAGAUCUCCGCAUCACUGGAAACCCCUCUUGUAGACCAUACGUUUUAUAAUAUUCAAACAUUUCAUCAGGACUAUCAAAAGACAUCCCAACUGUAGGCUCAACAACAUUUUCCACCACCAAUUCCUCAUUGUUUUCUUCCAAAUUAGCCCCCCAGUAAAUCCUGCAAUUCCCCAACUUCAUCAACCUCCUCCACUUGUUCGAAAUUAUCCAUUAACUGCUGCAAAUGAAAAUGGGAAGAGUUAAUCGAAAUUAUCCACUUGUUCGAAAUUCCCCAAUGCAAAUGCAUGUUAAUUUGCCUAAAGUUUUCAUAUGAUUCUAGGCAGUAAAAGAUGAGAAAAAAGAUUUUAAUCAACAAUGCAAACCCUCCCACCCCAAUUCGUAAGUAUUGCGCAAGUUCUGUAGUUCUUUAAUUGCUCAUGCCGAUUCCAAAAUUUAGUAAUAAUAAUAAUAGAAUAAGAAGAGGAAUUUUAUUCUCGAGCAUUAUCAUACUUUAAUGCAUGUACCCAUUAUAUUAACUUAAUUGUCAAAUAACGGCAAUAUCACCCAAAACAAAGUUUCAUACAAUGUUGUAAAAAAUAAAUUAUGAUUUGAGAACUGAAAAAAUAAUAUGAGAACUGAAAAAAUGAGACAAAUCAAGAAUAUGAGAACUGAAAAAAUUAAUUCAAUGUUACAAUGUUCUAAAAACGAAGGCCAACUUCCUAAAAUAAAAUUAAAAAACAAAAUGCUACAAUGUUAAUCUUCCGUCCAAACUCAGCUUUCAACCGUCCAAAUUCAGCUUGUCCAAACUCAGCUUUCAACCGUCCAAACUCAUCUUGUCCAAACUCAUCUUUCAACCGUCCAAACUCAUCUUUCAAGGACACAUUUCGCAGCCGAAACUCAGCUGCUGUUGGUCUUGUUCUUCAAUGGGUGCGAAACGAAAAAGAAACUCAGACGCUUUCAACUCAGCUUACAAGGACAAAUUUCGCAGCCGAAACUCAGCUGCUGUUGGUCUUGUUCUUCAAUGGGUGCGAAACGAAAAACAAACUCAGACGAAGAGGAUGGAGCUUUAAUUAGUAGAUCCCGUUCUGCUGUCGAUGAGUGCUCCGGCUGUGGAUCUCGGUCGAGGAUGGAAGAAACGAAAAAGAAACGAACAAACGAAAAAGAAAAUAAAAGAAAACGACGCAAAUCAUUCAAUAAACAAACGAAAAAGAAAAAAAAAAAAAAAAGAAACGACGCCAUUUUGUAUUUUUCGGGGUUUGACCCGGGGCAAACAUCAGCACUCUAUAACCUAUACACUUGCUGUUUUGUUCUGCAAAGGAAGGACAACACCCUUUACCUCAGAGCCUUUGAGCUCAGUCUGAGGGCACAUAAAAGGUCGCUUGAAGAACAAGCGGAGUUGAUGUGAGUGUUGCGUUGCCGCAUGGCAAAGAAUAAGAGGGUAUCGCACUAUCGCUAAUCCCUGCGGCAUUUGACGACUAUUAUUAUCAAAACAAGUAUAAAAUUUGACGAAAAUAUCACAACAAUUAUUACCUUCGAUAAAAUUUAACAAAAAUAUAUAUCAUUGGUAUUUCAAAUAUAGAAAUCCGAGUAUAAUAGAAAUAUUUCAAUCUAGAAUCAUAGAUUUCUUAAAGUCUGAAAAAGUUAUGAUUUAAUACAAUAAUAGUUGGAAAAGCUAUUAAGGCAUAAGAUUUUAGUAGUAUAAUAACAUUAUACUAUUAAAUCAUAUGUCUUAAUAACUUUCCCAAACUAUAAUAAAAUUUAGGAUCAUGAAUCAAAUUAGUACACCUGAACACAAAUAUAAUAUAAAUAUAUAUGUUUACGGAAUUUCUCCACUACAUUUCUUUUUGUUCUAAGGAGGUUGUUCCUUAUCACUAGACCUAUAACUUGACAUAGCAGUUAUGAUGAUUGCUACUAGCAGGUGAAACAUUUAAAGAAGAGUUAUUAGCUUGAACCUAUUGCAAAUGUCAGAGCCAAAAGGCUUCAAUGUUUCAUGGUAGAGCUGAUGACAAGUGGUGGCAGCGGUUCAAGCUUUUGUGGGGGCUAAAUGUUCUUAAUAUUUAUAAAUUAUUUUCUCUUUCGAAAUGCGAGUGGGAUAUGAAUAUCCCUCCUUUGUGAGAGGUUAUUUGUCUGGACAUGUACUUCACAUAAUUUAAUAUAAUAAUGUAAGUCUCAAUCAUGUACUUCACAGAAUUCAAUGUAAUAAUGUAAAUCUCAAUCAUGUAUAUCUGAUUGUAAAUAUCAGUGUAAUAUAUUUACUAUAAUAAUAAUUGUAAAUAUUUAUGUAAUGUAGUAAUCUGAUGUGUAAUCAGUAUUUAAAAAAAAAAAAAAAGACUGGUGACAAGCAUAAAUAAACAAUAUGAGAUAGUGAUACACGACAAUGAUAAUAGCAAAGCAAAUCCAUUAAAGUGUGCAAAAUGAUGUGACCGCUGACCAGUAUUUGACCAAUAUUAAUAUUAGAGCGUUGGCUGUUGAGACCAAAGAGAGUGCAGAAACAGACCCUUGGACAACAACAAGGCCCCCGCCACCAAAAUCAGGAAGAAACUUUUCGAUGAAGUUUAGACCUCAGUGCCAGCUAAACAUGCAUAACAAUAAAUGGUUAUGGCUAUCAGAAAAGACCAUAUAUUUACUAAGUGUGUUUUAAGUAAGAGCUUAGUUUUACCUUACAUAUUUGUAGUGUCGCAUUCAGAAUUAAAGCCUAAUAGCAGCAAAUAUAAUUUCUUUAAUUUAUUUUCCUAAAAUGUUUUAAAAUAAUUUUGGAUAUAACAUACUCAUUUAAAAUGAUUUUAAUGAUGAUAAUUUAAUUUUCAGUAUAUAAUCUUAUAAAUUACUUAAAGUCGGUGGAGUAAAUUAAAAAUUUUAUUAGGACAAAAAUUUUUUUAUUGAAUUUUAGAAAAUAUUUUUAGAAAAAAGAUUAAGACUUACGGGGACAACUGCCACAGCUUGUCUUUACGUGACUCCACCAGUGCCGAUAUUUGCACCCACAAUGCCGAUAGGAGCUGCAAUGAGAUAUCCAAAAAUACUAAGGUAUGUGAAUAAAGAAAUCAUCUUAGACCCACCAGUCCUUUGAACUAAAACCACCAACAUGCGAAGAAGAAGGAUUUAGAAUAAAUAAAUAAAUACAAAGUUUUGCUUUUUUUUUUUGCUACAAGAGAAGAAAAUUUGAAUUAGCUAUUUGGAAGAGAUAGGCAUGCUCAAACUAAAUUUUUCCCUUGGGUAUUAAUCAAUGGUCAUAACCCGGAUUUGAAAUGGUAAUUUAAUUUCGCUGUUACCCAGAUUUGAAAGACAGUAUUAAGUGCAAUUUAUGUUUCAGCAGUUUAUGGUCGAAAAUGUAAGUGAAGUCGUUAGCAGAUUGCCUAUUAUUAGGAUUUUUAUUGAUCUAAAUUCUCUUGAAUUUUUAAGAUGCGUACUGUAGUAGUAAGGUAUGGAUAGAAUUUAAGUUCUUAAUUUUUUUUUUAUGUAUUAACCACCAAUCAACGUAUGAAUUUAAGAAAUUUAGAUCAGAAGAGAAUUUCAUCCUUUUGUAUUGAGAUGUUAUAAUUUAAAAAACUGAAAAUAAAUUAUAAUUAUAAAAUAAAAAUUAACAUCUUAAUAAUUUUGACCGAAAAGUAAAAAUACUGUAGAUUUUUCAUUAUAUAUGUAGUAAAUUAAAUCAAUUUAAUUUUUAAGCCACAAUUAUUAUUAUCUACCAAAUAUUUAGGGCUAUAGCUAACCUUAACACUAAAUGGGGGCAUUCGGCUCCCACGAUUAAUCUGUUGAGGCUGCAUUGGUUGGAAUGUACGAUGAGGAUGGCAUUUUUUGUCUUAUUCGUGCUUCAUAAAUCAUUAUAAAGCCGAUUAUUCGUGGCAGACAUUUGAUUAAUAUCUCCUCGCGGUUUCAUAUGGAAAAUUGGGAUGUUACCAGCGUUGUGUUGUCUUAAUAUUUUCCUGUAGUUUUUGCAACCCAGUACGCCACCUGUCAUCUUGUUUGCCCUCGAGGAUGAACAGAAGCCCAGUGCGCAAUGGGCAAAAGGAUUGACAGUGACUUGGUUUCAGGUACAAUUUGUCCGCAACAGCAAAUUAAAUAAAAUAAAGUAAUAAUUAAUAAAUAGAUUAAUUUGAAGAAAUUUAAAUUUUUAUUAAUAUAUUUUUCGUAUUUCAAGGAUUAAAUACCUCUCUAGUUUUUUUUAUACACUUAUUUAUUACAAUAUUGAUAUUUAGAAUCAGAAAUUUAUCAGAACUUAUUUGAGUAAUUCUAUUAUAGCACAAGCUGAAUAUCAAUCCUCACUAAAUUGGAGAAAAAUUUGUCUUCACUAUUAUUAAAGAGAAAUCGAUCAUAUUCCUACCCCAAUAUGGGGAGUCAAUUAACUCCCAUUAUAUAGAAAAAUAAAUCCCAACGAUGACCCUAAGCUGGGACUUGAAUCCAUGCCCUCAAGGUUGUUGAGGGCAUGGGCACACCAAUGGGCUUGUAGCCCAUUGGCAAAUACCUCUCUAGUUGAUAAAUAAUAUUCCAGAUUUUUAUUACUAUAGUUGAUGCUAGUUAGUCCACAUAUAAAACUUAAAAAUUAAGAAUAGGAAUAAAAACUAGACACCAUUAAUUUAAACUAAAACAAAUAAUUUGUUCACUAACCAACCACAAGUUUACUAAGUCCAAGUACACGUUAAUCACGACCAAUAGGAUGAAUACAGUUUAAAACAAAUAAAAAUAUAGAAUUAGGGAUCGUAACACUCCUUCACCUUAAAAGUACUCUUUGCCGUCAAGGGUGGACUUUGUUAAGGAGUCUUCUCUCGUCAACAUACUUCUCCGAAUUUGACCACGACAACAUAAUAAUGGCUAGAGUCCCGUCACCGUCCAACCAUAAUGGCCACUUCAAGGCCAAAGGUUUUGCGUGUGUGCAUGCUUCUUGACUUUUUCAUUGGUGCAUUAAAUUUUGUUUUGUAUUCCGAAAUCAAGCAUGCAUGCAUGCUCCUUGGCUCUUUUCAUAUUCCACAAGGAUGCAUUAAAAAAUAAAACUCUCACUUUAAGAACAUCUCAACUAUCUCUGCUUAAAAAAAUUAUCUCAUCUCGUGUGUGUGUGUGUAGGUAAAACGAGCCUCAUUUUUUAAUUCAAUUUAAUCUCCAAUCGCGAAAAUUUGGUUAAGCAAAAAUGCGGUGCGACUGGGGGGAGUUUCGUCGGAAGGUAAUCAGAUAUUAAAACGAACUCAAUAAGUUAUCAUGAAGCCUAUCGGCAUCAUACUGAAUUACUGACGCAAAUGACUUCCGAGUUUCCAUUUCCCUGUUCCCAUCAAGGGUCAAAGGGCUCCAGUAGCUGCGCGUAAAGGGCCCCAGUGGGAAAUUUAAUCGGUAAGGGGUCCCAGUCAAAAAUGUGAAGGCAUUAAACUAUAGGGGUAAUUUGGGUAUUCGUUUAUUUAAUUUAAUUCGAUUUAAAGUAAAUAAGUUUGAGUUUAAAAAAAAUUAAUUUAUUUAAUAAAUGGUGAAUUCGACUUCAUUUUCACUUUUAGGUUAAUCUGUAUUAAUUAUUUUUAUACUUAUUUAAUUCUUUAUUUAUUGUUAUUGAAGUUUGUCCAGUCAUUUAUUUAUAAGUUUUUCUUUUAUGGAUAUAGUUUAAUAAUUUGGUUGAUGAUUAUGUUAAUCAAUUCUUUUAGGCUCAAUAUUUGAUUCUCUAAUCAUUUAAUUUAGACUUUGAAUUAAGUGUCUAUUUCUUUUUACAGUUCUAAGAGCUGGUUUUGUAGGUUGGACUUGAUCCUUUCAAAACGGUGUUAUUUAUUCAUUAAGUGUACAUGAUUUCUUUAAGAUACUGACAGCCAAAGGGAGAACAAAAGAAAAAAAGAUUGGAAUGCAUAUAAAGAUACAAAUUAACGAUGAAAUAUGUAGGGAUAACCAAAAAUAAACAAAUAGUUAAGCAACUUUUCUUGAAUCUAUAGAUAUAUUUUUUUUAUCUUCUCAUAUUUUUUACAAAAUUAUUUGAAGAAUUAUUAUAUUUUUUAAUAUAAGAAUUUAUUAAAGUUGAUUAAUUAUUAUGCUCUCUCAUGCAAGCAAGAAUCAUUAAUGAAUAUGUGAUGAUUUGAUUACUAGGUGUCCAAUAAUAUCCUACAAUAGCUUUUUUUUUUUUUUUUUUGAUACACUGAUAUAGUAAAAUCAGAAUUUUUACUGAUAUUUACAAUCAGAAAUUAGUCGGGACCAUCCUGAAUAAGCCUAUUACAGCACAACCCGAAGUCAACGCUCACUUAAAAGCUGGAGGUGAUCAAUCCUACCCCAAUGUGGGUAGAUAACUAACCCCUAUUAUAUAGGGGAGUCAAUCCUACAAUAGCUUAUUGAAUUGCAAUACUUGGAUUAAAUCUCUUAAGAAAUUGGCUUUCUCAUCUUGUUGCAGAACUCAGUUAGCAACUUAAACACUAUUUCAUGUUGUUUGUCAAAUUUUAUCCCUCUUAUUUUGCCUUGUGUCUUCUUCUUAGUCUAAUAAACUGCAUAUUAUAUUAUUACGUAUGAAUACAAGAAAUAGGAAAACAUAUAUAUAAUAAAAAAAUUUAAUAUUACCAGAAAUGUCUAGAGCACUAGGUAGUGCAACAUAUUUGUCAUUUAUUUGUAUAUACAUCAACUGUUGGAGAUGUUUGAAAGAAAUAUGAUCCAAGAGCCAUGCUACAAUGUAUUAUAAUUAUAUAAACCAAAUGACUAAACCAACUAUAUAAAUUCUUUCUCGCAAACAAGAUGAAGCACUAGAAAGUCAGCCAUAAGAUGUGCUUACCAUUUGGUUUCUUUUUUUUUUCAAAGUGAGUUUGAUAGUCUUUUUAUGUUAAAAAUCAACUUUAGUAUAUUAUGUGAUGAUUUUUCAAGUUGGAUUAUUUUAUUAUACUUUGAUUAAUUUUAUUAGUAUCCGAUCAUAUUAUGCAUUGUCGCACAAAAGGUUCUCGUACACAAGUUAUUUUUAAUUUAAAGUUUUUGUUAUUAGAUUUCAAUUUGUAGGACUGAAAUUUGUAAUCACGACUGCUUAUUCUUAACAAUGAGACAAAAAGUUUUCUAAUACAAUAUAUGACUUGCCAUUUGCCAAAAAGGUAAUGGUCACAAGAUAACAAUUUUUCGACUAAAAAUUUUUUCAUUACUGGAUAUCAAUUUACGUGACUAAAAUACGUCAUCAUAGAUGCUUGUUUUAAAUGAUGGUUAAAAACAGUCAUUAAACUUUUCAGUUAUAAUGUAAAUAGUCGUGAAAAAAAUAUAUUGUUGUUAAAAAUCAUUUAAGACAAUAUUUAAUAUACUUUGCAACAAAAGAACAGUCACAAAAUAACAUUUUUCGAUUCAAAAUUGUUUUGCCACGAGAUAUCAAUUUAAGUGACUAACCAUUGUAGUCGUGGAUGUUUGCUUCUAAUACCGAGAAAAUAGUCACAUACGAUGUUACUAGUCAUAAGUGACAACUUGACAAUAAUAUAACGUCGUGAUAGGUAUACUUUAGCGACAAAAACAUAAUGUUGCUAAUUAUAUUUUUGAACCUCUAAAUUGACGAUUUUGAGUAGCAAUUACUACUAUUUUUACUUACCCUUAAGACAAACAUUUUAGUCAUUAUAAAUCACUAAUAGUAACGAAAAUAGAAUGUCGCUAAUUGCACUUUUGACUUUUGAACAUCUAAAUUGACCACUUUGAAUAUCAUUCACGACGUGUUAAAUUUAAAUUUAGGACAAAUGGUUUAGUCAUAAAAACAUACUAUUUUAUGUGACAAAUAAUUUUGGUUGCUAUAACCUAAUGUGACACACUUGGUGUGUUUAAUUGUAAUUUACUUUUUGUUAUUCCUGGAUUUGAAAGACAAUUAAUGGUGCACUUACUAAACGAGAGUCAGAAUGGGGUAGAAUCAGAAUGAAUUGGAAUCGAAAUGAGGAAUGAGAAUCAUAAUAAAUUGUCUAUUUUAUUUGUAGGAAUCAGAUUUGGAAUGAGCUGAAUUGCAAUUGAUGUGUUUACUUUUUCUUGGAAUUUAAAUAGAAAUGAAUUAGAUUGUUGCAAAUUACUAAAAAAAAUUAAUUAACUAUUAUCAUAAUUAUUACUUUUUAUUUUAAUUAUUGUGAUUAUUAUUAUUCUUAUUAUUAAAUAUUGUUAAUGAUAAUUAUUAUUAUUAACAUUAAUAUAAUAAUAAUGGUGAUGAUGAUGAUCAUCAUAAUCAUCAUCAACAAUAUCAUUGUUGGCAUAAUCAUCAUCGUCGGCAUUAGAUUAAAACGCGACUGCUACUGUUGCCGCUUGUGACACAACGGCUGCUCAUGACUACUACUGCUUGUGAUGUGACGACUGGCAACUAGUUGUUGCUCCACAAGCAAUGACCGACAGCAACAAGGGGGCUCAUCCACGGAUUGCGUGCUUUUUUUUUUUUUUUUUAACUGAGGACAAAGUUGGGAUUAUUGAUUAUGUUGGGGGGCAAAAUUGUCGCUCCUGGAAUGAGAGACUGAUUCCCACCUCCUUAGGAAUCAGUCUCUCAUUUCCUAUUUCUAAAUUUAGGUGGACUCCAUAAUUUCGAUUUUAAUAUUCGCUCUUUUUAUAAAAUAAAUACUAUCAAUGAUUUCGAUUUUGGAUUCUACUUGUCAUUUCUGGCAGUUUCAUGGUCGAAAAGUUUUGGUUCGAUUUGGAAUGCCUAGCCCUCUAAUGUUUCACACACACAUGGUCCUCUACUUGUCAUUUCUACAAUUGGUCAUAUGUUUCUAGUCAAUUGCAAGAAGUAAUGUACUCUAGCUAAGUACAUGCAAAGGUCAAAAUCUUAAUCUUAAUUAAUUAAGAUUUAAUUUAUUUUAUAUUUUUAUCUAAUAACUAUCAAUUAUUUUUUCAUAAUAAUUAGAAAAAAAAUUAGUUUAGUAUUGAAAUCAAAUCCACAUUAGAGUUGGGAUGUUACAAAUAUUUGUCAUAGCUGGAAGUUGAACAUGCAAAGGUUCCAGCAAGUGCCUACCAUCAAACUAGGUCAAAGUACAAAAUGUACCCAACAGAUGGAUAUGUUAGAUUUAUUUCUCAUAUUAUGUGGACUGACAUAAAUCAUUCUAAUUGUUUUCUAUAUUUUACCGAAUUAAUACGUGACUAAUGUCAAAUAUUAUGGAGCAAUUUUGACAGACUGAUCAAAUAUUGUGUUAAUGAGUCUGAUUUUGACAUACCCUAUACAGUAGUAUAGUAUGGACAAGUAUAAUCCUUAAUUGUGUUAUUUUAGCUCAUAAUGGGAUGGGCAAUUUUGUACUAACACAUGAGGGGUCCAUGCGCUCAACCACUGUGUUUAAGUAACUUCAGCCCAUUGGCAGGUUACUGUUCAAGAAAUCUGUGGCAUGAGUGCAGUGCACCUCUCUCUCUCUCUCCCUCUUGUCUCCCGUGUGUGCACAGUGACUUGUUGAGGAAAGCUGAAGGAAAGGAAGCGGGAAUUCAUAAGCUGGAUCAAAGUUGUAGCAACUCUGUUAAAGCUCCAUAACAAGCUUCCAAGCUCGGAUCCAUGGGAGAUCAUGGUAAAUUUUCGAAAUGACCUAAAAUAUGUGUUUAUUUGGAAAUGCAAUAUUAAGGGUAUAAAGUUUAUUUUUGUUUCAUCAGGAUAUGCAUGUCCUUUUGUUUGAGAUCUUGUGAGUACAAUGCUCCUAAUCCUCAAUACCAUAUACAUAAAAAAAUGGCCUAUAUAUAAACGCCGUUGUGAUUGAAGAAAAGCGGUAUUGCUAUUACUGACUCUUGCCAAAGGCCUUGAUGGACCACUUCUUCACAUCAAACUAACGCAUAAGAGGUAUAAAGCCUAGGUGUAGGAGAGAGAGCCACAACAUAUAUACAAAAACGCAAUUUGGAUAGACCUUGCCGAUCAUGCUAAGUUAAUUAAUCUGUCUGUGAAUGAAGAAGAUUCACCCUAAUUAAUGCUGAGUAAAUUAUUAGUAACCAGGAUGGACAUGUCAUAUGGUUAAUGGGAGCUUUAAAUCUGAAACUCACCUGGCUACCUGAACCAAGUGAGUAAGUUAACCACUUUGGUGGAGUUCGACUAUCUAGUUGACUAACAUCUCAAAGAAAAAGGUAUGUUGAUUAUCAGAAUUUUACAUUCAGUUAAGCCAUUCUGAACAGAGAACUUUUCUUGCAAUGUGAAUUUGUUUUGUUUUUUUUUUUUUUUUUUUCUCUUUCCUUUCUUUUGAAGGCACGUGAAUUUGUUCUUAAACCCAUCUUAAUCUAGAUAAGCUUGCUGGAUGCUAUAGUCAUUACAGGAUCAGGUAUCUCAAUCAUGUGAGAUUUCUCCUUGGGUUGUUUGUGCCUAAAUAUCCAAGUAGCUAUGCCUGUUGUUGCCUCUGAAUUCUGAUCAUCCAUGUGUGUUUUUUCUCAGUCACAGCAAUUGCGAACAUACACUUAGUUAGUUCAAUCAGUAAGAUUUCUUGAGAUAGUACGUAAAAUCGUUAAAUCAAAAUGGUUACGACCUAAGGCGGAUUCAUUUACUUUGAACUAGUCCUCUUUCUAUGUGGAUUACAAUUUGAAAUUAGACGAACCUAUUUUUUCAUUCAGAAAGAAAAAAAAAAUAUUUUUUUCCCUAUUACAGGUUUUCUCAUUGUUGAAGGAACUAGAGUCUCUCACAAGAGAAAUUCUAGAAUACAUCAGAUGUAAUACAACCAAUUAAUGCAUGUAUGAUAUGUGUAGUUGAAUUUUAUAUAAUCAUCAAUUACAUGUUGAUUCUCAAAGUAAUUGCACAUAUGUUAAAACAUCAUUUACUUGUUGUACAUUAGAUAUAAUACAACCAAUUAAUGCAUGUAUGAUAAGUGUAGUUGAAUUUUAUAUAACCACCUAUUACAUGUUGAUUCUCAAAGUAAUUGCACAUAUGUCAUAACAUCAUUUGCUUGUUAUAUGACUGACAUAGUACCUCAGAGAUAUUUCAGAAUUUUUCCUCCAACAAUACUCAAUCAAUGGUAAAGUUUAAAUUAUGUCAGAAAAAACAUUUGCACAAUUAUUGCUAUUUCAAACAUAGAAAUGUGAAGAGUAAUAUAUUUUAUGGAAUUUUCUCCGUUAAUUCUUAAAAUUACUACGUGUACAUGUGAUGAUUGCUUGCUACUGUGUAAGGUGAAACAUUUAAUUUGAAGAAGAUUAAUUCCUUCUAGACUGGUAGUAUAGGUCGUUGCUGCCCUGUCGAGGAAUUCUUAUUAGCUUGAAACCUAUCGCAAAUGUCAAUGCAAAAUGGCUUCAAGGUUUUGUUGUAGAGCUGACGACAAGCUUCUAAAAACAACAUACCAUAUUGGUACACAACUACAAUAAUGGUAGUCCCAAUCCAUGCAGUGUACAAAAUGAUAUGGUCAAUAUUAGAACGUGGAACAAAUGUAAAGACCAAAGAGAUUGCAGAAAUAGAUCCUAAGACAAUAGCAACAAGGCUCCACAACUGGGAAGAAUUUUCUCCAUGAAGUCGAGAUCUCAGGUCAGCUGAAUGUGCAUAGCAAUAUACGACAGUGGCUAUCCGAAAAGACCAUAUGUCCGUUGAAUGUGUUUCAGGCAAGGGCUUAGUUUGGUCUUGCAUAUGACAUGGAGCAGAAGAGAUUUUACCCACUGCAAAAUCAUAAAAAUGCAUGAUUAACCAUCUUCUGUAUAUCCCAUUUCCUUUGAAAAAAAAUAAAUGAAACUUAAAAAGACCUUGUAUUAAUUUCCAGUCAAAUUGUCUAUCAAUUAAUUAUUUGCUUUUGACAAAUGCAAUUCUCAUCUAAAAAUUUGAGGGAGCGCUUUUCUAUUUUCAUUAACACAUACGAGAUAUUUUUCAUUUGCGUCCAAAUGUUUCAUCAAAUUUUAUUGUGUGCACCUCUGUCCUCUGUUUCAACAACUCUUACGGCUCAUCGUUUCUGUUAAAAAAUAUUGUUGCCGUUAAUUUUGACAAUUUUGAUGUUAAAAGACAAUUUUACCAGUCAUUGGAAUUAGGUGUAAAAUUACCAGAAAACCACAGCACUUGUUUCAAAUUCCAAUUUUGACCUAUGUGGAUAUUAAAAUUUCUUAAAGGUUUGAAAAAAAAAAAAGAAUUGUAAAAAUGUUUUCUUAUGGGAAUCAAAACAUCCCCUCUACCAUCAUCCAUAAUCAUAUAUUCUUGAUAAUGAUCUAAUAAACUUGAAAAAGCAAGAAAUCCAAUCCUAAUCAAUAAAACAAUCAAAUUUCUUCAUAAAGUUUAGCUCUUGCUUUUGAAAAUUCCAAUUCUUGAGACUCUAAAUAAACCGAUAUUCAAAAUUACAUAUUUCUAGAAUGAAAAAUCUUCAAUUUAUCCCUUUAAUUUUUUUAAAACAUCUUUAAAUUUUUGAAAACAUCUAUUUGCCUCUAUUUAUCAGUCAAAAGAUUAGGAUAAAUGGAAGCGCGUUGAUGACUAACUUUUUAUCUACUUAAUGGUAUUUGAUAAAUAUAGCUAAAUUGGGGUAAAUUGAAAUUUUAUUCUACAUUUAGAGUGCUUUAAUAAGAGAAAGAAAGAAAGCAGCAAACCUGGUCUAUUUAAAUAAUAAUAUUAUUAUUAUUAAAUAAAUAAAUAAAAUUAACAUGCAAACUCAGCUUGAAACUUGGGAGAAAAAAAUAUGUGAAUUUUAUUACAUGCUGAUUCUUCAAAUUAAAAUGUAAACACACUCAAUAAACAUUAGACAUAAUACAACUAAUUAAUGCAUGUAUGAUAUGUAUCAUUGAAUUUUAUUACAUGCUGAUUCUUCAAAUUAAUUGCACACAUAUUAGAAAAUCAUGAGUUUGUUGUAUGAUGGACAUAGUAUCUAAAGAUAUUUUAAAAUUUUUCCUCUGAUAAUGCUCAAUCAAAUUAAGGGUAAAGGUUAAAUUAUGAUAGAAAAAGUCUUUGAAUAAUAUUGAACAAAGCAUUUACUUGUAUACUAAAAGAAUGCAUAUGAGGGGCCAAAAAGAGUGAAGAUAUGAGUUUGACUAUUAUCACAUCAAUUAUUACUAUUUAAAACAUAGAAAGAUGAAACUAACAUAUUUUGUGGAAUUUCCUCCGUUACUUACUUAAAAUUACUACGUUACAUGUGAUGAUUGCUUGUUAUUGUCUAAGGUGAACAUUUAAUUUGAAAAAGAUUAGUUCCUUCUAGAUAGGUAGUACUGAUUGUUGCUGCCCUGUCGAGGAAGUAUUAUUAGCUUGAAACCUAUUGCAAAUGUCAAUGCACAAUGGCUUCAAGGUUUCGAUAUAGAGCUGAUGACAAGCUUCUGAAAACAAUGUCCUAUAUUGAUACACAACAAUAAUGACAGUGCCAAUCCACGCAGCGCACAAAAUGAUAUGGCCAGUAUUAGAAUGUGGAAAAAAGGUGGAGAUCAAAGAGAUUGCAGAAGUAGAUCCUGAGACAACAGCAACGAGGCACCAGAACUGGGAAGAAUUUUCUCGACGAAGUCGAGACUUGAGGUCCGCUGAAUAUGCAUAGCAAUAUAUGGCUGUGGCAAUGAGAAAAGACCAUAUAUUUAUUGAGUGUGUUUCAAGCAAGGGCUUAGCUUGGCUGGCUUGCGCAUUUGCACCCACAAUGCCGAUGAGAGCCGGAAUGAGAUAUCCAAAAAUAUUGGGAUAUGACAUCGAGUAGAAGAAAUUUCGCCCACUGCAAAUCAUUAAAAUGCAUGAUUAACCAUCUUCUAUAUAUCCCAUUUCCUUUGAAAAAAAAAUAAUGAAUAAAACUUAAAAAAGACCUCGUAUUAAUUUCCACUCAAAUUGUCUGUCAAUUAAUUAUUUGCUUUUGGCUGAUGUAAUUCUCCUCUAAAAAUUGAGAGAGCACUUUUCUAUUUUCAUUAGCACAUGUAUAUGAGAUAUUUUUCAUCUGCGUCCAAAGUUUUCAUUAGAUUUUAUUGUGCGCGGACUUGUUUCAAUAACUCUCAUGACUCACCUUUUUUGUUAAAUAUUGUUGUUGCCAUUAGUUUUGAUGAUUAGUGUAAAAUUAUUAGAAAACCACAACACCUGUUUCAAAUUCCAAUUUUGACCUACAUGGAAAUUAAAAUUUCUUAAAGGUUAAAAAAAAGAGUAAAAAUGUUUUCUUAUGGGAAUCAAAAUAUCCCCUCUACCAUCAUCCAUAAUCAUCUAUUCUUAAUAUUAAUCUAAUAAACCGAUAUUCAAAAUUACAUGUUUCUAGAAAGAAAAAACUUCUAUUUAUCCCUUUAAAUUUUUGAAAACAUCUAUUUACCUCUAUUUAUCAGUCAAAAGAUUAGAAUAAAUAGAAGCGUGUUGAUGACUAACUUUUUAUCUGCUUAAUGGUAUUUGAUAAAUGUAGAUAAAUUGGGGUAAAUUGAAAUUUUAUUCCACAUUUAGAGUGCUUUAAUAAGGGAAAGAAAGAAAACAGAAAACAAAUCCCUUCGAUACGAGGCUUAACAAAAUUUUCAGCAUGGACCUAACCAAAUUUUUUUCGCGCAAAUUAAAUUAGGAGAACAAAAAUAAUUUGAAAUGGACUGCAUAUGUAUACUCAAAAAUAAUAUACAGCUUGAGUCAAUAAUGGUAAAGAAAAUGACCAUACACCGAAAGGUUUGGAUCUGGAUGAUGCAGAAUGCAGUGGCAGCUUUGCAUUUGCAGUUAUAUACCUCGCCAAACCCUGGAUUGGGUUUUCUUUUUCACGGCAAAUAAGGCAGGGACAAGCAAACCUGAUCGAUUUUAGAACAAAAAUAAAUAAAUAAAUAAAAGUAAAAUGUAAACUCAGCUUGAAACCUGGGAGAAAAAAAUAACAAUAACAAAGUAAAAAAAAUCACUUACUUUAAGAACAUCUCAAUUAUCUCAUGGAUUGGGUAUUUAUACGGGCAAAAUGAGGGUCAAUUGAACCCCAAUGUAAUCCCGAUUCCGGAACACGUUUGGUCAAGCUCAAGUGCGGCCGAAUGGGGAGGGUUUCCUAGAAAGGUAGCAAGGUAGUCCCCCUUAGAAAGUGAAAAUGAAGCCUAUCCACAAUCAUAGGGAUGCAACACAAGGUAGAUUUUUUUUUUUUGUUAGAUGUAGAAAAUGAUUAAAGAGGUCCCAUCAAGUUCAGCGGGCAAGGGCCGCUCGGUAGCUACACGUGAAGAGGGGCCCCCCAGCGCCCCGGCGGUGAAAUUUAAGUGGUACGGUCCCAAUUAAAAUGUGAUUAACUUAUCAAAUAUCAAGAUCUUUUCCAAUAAGGACAUUAGUUUUGCAUUCGUUCGUCUCAAAUAGGUCCCUAACCUUGUAUGACGACUAAGAUACCCUUAACCCGUUGGACCAAUCUACCUUACAGAUUCUGUAAGUAACGGCCUGUGAGUUGACAAGAGGAUAUAUGGAUGCGUAGCACGUGGACGGCGGAUGGAAUGGGAUAUUAUAUAUGGAACCAGACAUUCCGGUUUUCUUCGGGUGACAAAAUGAAUUCCUUCCCGGUUGCUGACCGGUAACCCAUCACUGAAAGUGGUAAAAAAAAUUAGGCUGAUGGGCCGUGUAUUGAAAAUCCAAAUAUUUGCAAUUUGAUAGUGGAAAAAUGUUGGUGGUUAUAGGCUUCCAGCGUAUCGAAUUAUUAUUCAGACUCGUGCAUAUAGCAAGUGAGGCGACGUUGCAUCUCCUGCAACAGCAUGGUGUGAAAAAACCCCUUCAAAAUAUUUUCUCACUUUGGAUCCACGGUGUGUGAUCCAGUUUAAGCAAUCGCGGCUGCCUCGGAGGUAGCAUGACCUAAACUGUUUUUUUUUUACCGACACCAACCUAAUUAAAAUACAAUUAAUUCUGUAAAUUUCUCCAACCACGUGUCCUUUUGUUACUUCUCACAUCCGGUUGCACAUUAACCAUUAAAAUCGGUUUCCCCAUGCUUUGGGUUUUCUUUCCCCUUAUUUUUCUGACCGUUGCCAACCCUCCAUCUUUCUCUAUCCACAUUCAACGAUUGAGAUUACAGGUCUGUUACUUACAGAAUCUGUAAGGUAGACAGGUCCCUUAACCCGUUGGACCAAUCUACAGGUCUGUUACUUACAGAAUCUGUAAGGUAGACAGGUCCUUAACCGUUAUAUGAUUUACACACUUGCCGUUUUGUUCUGCAAAGGAGGACACCACCCGUUACCUCAAAGCCUUUGAGCUCAGUCUGAGGGCACAUAAAAGGUCGCUUGAAGACCAAGCGGAGUUGAUGUGAUUGUUGGGUUGCCGCAUGGCUAAGAAUAAGAAAUUUCGCCGUCAAAAUGAAACGUAUCCUGUAAUAUAUAAUAUUCAUUUAUCAGUGAAGUAAAUAUACAGAAGGUUUACGGAGUUGCAUUAUAUGUAUAUUUAGCUAUUAUCAAAUGUCAACAGUAAUCAUUGGUAUUAAUUCUUGUAAAAUUAAGUUCUUAUCCACUUUCCCAAAAAAAAAAAAAUCUUAUUCAUUAUUCAAAGGCUUCCGAGUGCAUUUGGUGUUAGUUUUAUUCAUAUGUGAGAGUACAUCUUGCAUAUUAAACAAAUGAGUAAUGAUAUAGUAACAAACUCUUGUACAAACUUAUUUUGUACACUCUUGUACAAACUCAUUUUGUACACUCUUGUACAAACUCAUUUUGUACACUCUUGUACAAACUCAUUUUGUAUAAACUGAUGUGGUAUGAUAAGAUUGGUUGAAUUAAAUAUCACUUGGCCCACAUGAUUUAUUUUUAUUAUUUUAUAUUUUCAUUCAACCAAUGAAUUAAUAUCACGUUAGUUUGUACAAGAGUUUGUGGUUGUAUCAUCACUCUAAACAAAUUGUUAUUUAGUCCCGCCCUUAUUUGAUCAGAGUGGACCACGGUGGUUUUUUAACUCCGAAUAUUUAAGCACAAAUCAUUUUUAAAUAGUGAUUUACGAAUAUGAAUGGAAUUAAUUCUUCCAUACUGUUCAUGUUCUUAGGAUAAUUGUGGAAUUAGUUCAAAGAAAGCAAAAUUUCCUAAUUCACAAAUUUUGCAUUUUAUUAAAGGUUGGGAUAGUAUUUACAACAUUGUAAACUGACUUUCAUAUAACAACGUUAUAAAACGGUAAAAACGAUAGUUUACAAUGUUAUAAAACAAUGAAAAAAAAAAAUAGUUUACAAUGUUGUAAACACAUCCUGCACUUUAAUAGCCCGAGAUUUUUAGACCGGAAGCAGACACUUCAAAAAGUAAUGAUGUUUAUUUAUUUUUUUCUGAAAAAGGAUACCGACAACUCUUGAUUUAAAAAAUGAUCACAUAAAUUAAUCUUUUAGGAUAAUAUCACCUUUGAUUGCAAUAACCCAACUGUAUUUCAUCUGAUCAUAUAUAAUUAUAAAAAAUAUAUAUAUAAAGGUUGUUUUCCCUUUGACUGCUAAUCACACGAGCCUCGUUGAUCUUUUGCUGGAAUGAUGACCAGAGGAUGGUAUUUUUGCCUUAUUUGUGCUUCUGGGUGAAGCAAAAUAUUGGUAGCAGGCUUUCGCUUAUACGUCUGAUGUGCAGCAGCCAUACACACUGUUGUGAUUGUAGAAAAGAGGGUAUCGCUAAUCCCUGUGGCAUUCGAUGACUAUUAUUAUCAAAACAAGUAUAAAAUUUGACGAAAAUAUCGCAACAAUUAUUACCUUAAAUAAAAUUUAACGAAAAUAUAUAUCAUUGGUAUUCCAAAUAUAGAAAUCCGAACAUAAUAAAAAUAUUUCAAUCCAGAAUCACAGACUUGUUUAAGUCUGAAAAAGUUAUGAUUUGAUAGCAUAAUAGUCGGAAAAGCUAUUAAAGUAUAAUAUUUUAAUAGUAUAAUGACAUUAUAUUAUAAAAUUAUACGUCUUAAUAACUUUUUAAAAUUAUAAUAAAGUUUAAAAUCUUAGAUUAAAUUAGUGCACGAACACAAAUAUAAUAUAAUUAAAUAUAUAUGUUUACGGAAUUUCUCCACUACAUUUCUUUUGUUGUUGUUCCUUAUCACUAGAGCUAUAACUUGACAUAGCCGCAAUGUUUAAAAUUAGUACACGCACCACGUGAUGAUUGUUACUAGCAGGUGAAACAUUUAAAGAAGAGUUAUUAGCUUGAACCUGUUGCAAAUGUCAGAGCAAAAAGGCUUUAAUGUUUCAUGGUGGAGCCGAUGACAGGCAUAAAUAACAAUGUGGGAUAUUGAUACACGAGCAACACGACAAUGGUAAUAGCAAAGCAAAUCCAUUAAGUGUGCAAAAUGAUGUGACCGCUGACCAGUAUUUGACCAAUAUUAAUAUCAGAGCGUUGGCUGUCGAGACCAAAGAGAGUGCAGAAACAGGCCCCAGCCCCCAAAAUCAGGAAGAAACUUUUCGAUGAAGUUGAGACCUCAGCGCCGGCCAAAUAUGCAUAACAAUAAAUGAUUAUGGCUAUCAGAAAAGGGACUCGCCUAUCGUGCAACAGAAGCACCAUACCACCGUUUUUAUCUUUUUUUUAUAAAAUUUUAUGAAGUCCUUUUCAUUUAUUCUUAUUUGAAUUUUUCUUAACAAAUAUUAAGUUCAUUUCUCCCAAAUCUAUGAAUCCUUCAACGGCCGAUCAAUAGCAAAUCGGCUCCUCUGGUGGCUGUGGUUGGUCAGAAAAGAUAGAGAGAACUGUGGAUAACAAAAUUCAAGUGGUGACGUCACCGGAAAUCAGAGAAACCACAGUGAAUUGAAGUGGAGAUUCUGUGACUUUUCACGGCUUCGAUCGACGGCUUUCUGAAUGUUUUACGACGACAAGGAUGGCAUGGAGAUGAUCGGCGUCGCACGAGCUUCCGAUCGGUACCAACCUUGGCCAGUGGAGUAGCCAGAAACAAACAAAAUUCGGGUUGGGUUGACCUAGUUAUUUUUGCGACAAGGAUGGCGUGGAGAUGACUGAGGUCGUACGAUUUUCUGAUCGGUACCAACCUUGGGCGGUGGCGUGGAUGGAAAUGGAAACGAAAUUCGGGUUGGGUUCACCGAUAUUUUGAUAAAGAGAGGGGGGUAUUGUGAUAAAUGUGCAAUAUAGAAUAAAAAUGUGUAAAUAGUAAAUAGUAUAAGGUGCUAAUUAUAAUGUUUAUAUGGAUGCAAUAGAAAUUAAUUUAAUAUUUAUGAGGUAAAGUUUAAAUAAAAAUGAAUUAAAGGGGUUCAAUGAAAUUUUACAACACUACUAGCACAAAAGACAAAACCAGUGAUACGAUACCACGGUGGUACCGCAGCUGGAUCCAAAAGAAAAGAUCAUAUAUUUACUAAGGUAAUUCUUAUCUUACAUGCAUGUAAGAUAGGGGGAUCCAUUUACUAAAUGUGUUUUAAGUAAGAGCUUAGUUUUAUCUUACGUAUUUGUAGUGUCGCAUUCAGAAUUAAAGCCUAAUAAGUAAUAGCAGCAAAUAUAAUUUCUUUAAAAAAAAUUAUUUUCCUAAAAUGUUUUACAAUAAUUUUGGAUAUAACAUACUCAUUUAAAAUGAUUUUAAUGAUGAUAAUUUAAUUUUCAGUAUAUAAUCUUAUAAAUUACUUAAAGUCGGUAGAGUAAAUUAAAAAUUUUAUUAGGACAAAAAAAUUUAUUGAAUUUUGGAAAAUAUUUUUUGAAAAAGAUUCAGACUUACGGGGACAACUGCCGCAGCUUGUCUUUACGUGACUCCACCAGUAUCGAUAUUUGCACCCACAAUGCCGAUAGGAGCUGCAAUGAGAUAUCCAAAAAUACUAAGGUAUGUGAAUAAAGAAAUCAUCUUAGACCCACUAGUCCUUUGAACUAAAACCACCAACCCACCUCAUUUUGACAACUCUUAACCGCAUAUCAAACAACAUGCGAAGAAGAAGGAUUUAGAAUAAAUAAAUAAAUACAAAGUUUUGCUCUUUUUUGCUACAAGAGGAGAAAAUUUGAAUUAGCUAUUUGGAAGAGAUAGGGAUGAUCGAACAAAAUUUUUCCCUUGGGUAUUAAUCAAUGGUCAUAACCCGGAUUUGAAAUGGAGAGUUUUUUUUUUUUUUGAUGACAUGAGACUAUUGUUUAAAUUACAACUCAUAUUACAUGAUAGUAUAACUGAUAUGUACAAGCAUAUAUAUAUACUGAGACCUGUUGAGAUCAAUGCUGAUAUGACAUCGCUCAUAUUUGUAACCCUCUCAAAUAGUCGAGGGACGUCAACUCCCAGCCUGGGAGAAAGACUGCCUUCACUCAAGCUCUGGGGCUCCAAAGAAGGACAUUUAAAUUAAACCACAGCAAUGCGUCUGCGGAGGCUCGAAUCACUUCCCUCACAUUUGUGAGUGAGUGGCUCUAGCCACUUGGGCUAAGCCCAAGUGGUUAAAUGGAGAGUUAAUUUCGCUGUUACCCAGAUUUGAAAGACAGUAUUAAGUGCAAUUUAUGUUCCAGCAGUUUAUGAUCGAAAAUGUAAGUGAAGUGAAGUCGUUAUUAUUAGGAUUUCUCUUGAUCUAAGUUCUCCUGAAUUUUUAAGAUGUGUAAGGUAAUAAUAUUGUAUGGAUGGAAUUUAAGUUCUUUAUUUUUUUUUAUUUUAAUCACCAAUCAACUUGUGAAUUUGAGAAAUUUAGAUCAGAAGAGGAUCUUAUCUCUUUGUAUUUUAGUGUCAUAAUUUUAAAAACUAAAAAUGAACUACAAUUAUAAAAUAAAAAUUGACAUUUUAAUAAUUUUGACAGAAAAGUAAAAAUACUGCAGAAUUUUUAUUAUAUAUGUAAUAAAUUAAAUCAACUUAAUUUUUAAACCACAAUUAUUAUUAUCUACCAAAUAUUUAGGGCCAUAGCUAACCUUAAUACUAAAUGGGGGCAUUCGGCUCCCACGAUCAAUCUGUUGAGGCUGCAUUGGUUGGAAUGUACGAUGAGGAUGGCAUGUUUUGUCUUAUUCGUGCUUCAUAAAUCAUAAUAAAGCCGAUUUUUCGUGGCAGACAUUUGAUUAAUAUCUCCUUGCGGUUUCAUAUGGAAAUUUGGGAUGUUACCAGCGUUGUGUUGUCUUAAUAUUUCCUGUAGUUUUGGCAACCCAGUACGCCACCUGUCAUCUUGUUUGCCCUCAAGGAUGAACAGAAGCCCGGUGCGCAAUGGGCAAAAGGAUUGACAGUGACUUGGUUUCAGGUACAAAUUGUCGGCAACAGCAAAUUAAAUAAAAUAAAGUAAUAAAUAGAUUAAUUCGAACAAAUUUAAAUUUUUAUUAAUAUAUUUUUCGUAUUUCAAGGAUUAAAUACCUCUCUAGUUUUUUUUUAAACACUUAUAUAUUACAAUAUUGAUAUUUACAAUCAAAAAUUUAUCAGAACUUAUCUGAGUAAUUCUAUUACAAUACAACCCAAAUAUCAAUAUUCACUAAAUUGAAGAGAGAUUUAUCUUCACUAUUAUUGAAAGGAAAUCAAUUCUACUUCAAUGUGGGGAGUCAGUUAACUCCCAUUAUAUAAGAAAACAAGUCCCAACGAUGACUCUAAGCUGAGACUUGAAUCCAUGCCCUCAAGGUUAUUUAUCAACUCUCUAGUUGAUAAAUAAUAUUCCAGAUUUUUAUUGUUAUAGUUGAUGCUAGUUAGUCCACAUAUAAAACUUAAAAAUUAAGAAUAGGAAUAAAAACUAGACACCAUUAAUUUAAACUAAAACAAAUAAUUUGUUCACUAACCAACCACAAGUUUACUAAGUCCAAGUACACGUUAAUCACGACCAAUAGGAUGAAUACAGUUUAAAACAAAUAAAAAUAUAGAAUUAGGGAUCGUAACACUCCUUCACCUUAAAAGUACUCUUUGCCGUCAAGGGUGGACUUUGUUAAGGAGUCUUCUCUCGUCAACAUACUUCUCCGAAUUUGACCACGACAACAUAAUAAUGGCUAGAGUCCCGUCACCGUCCAACCAUAAUGGCCACUUCAAGGCCAAAGGUUUUGCGUGUGUGCAUGCUUCUUGACUUUUUCAUUGGUGCAUUAAAUUUUGUUUUGUAUUCCGAAAUCAAGCAUGCAUGCAUGCUCCUUGGCUCUUUUCAUAUUCCACAAGGAUGCAUUAAUUUAUUUUUAUUUUUUUUGUUUGUUUGUGCGCCAGGGGUUACCAAUUACGAUCAUGAUUCUCUUCUGAUCUGAUUAUUUUCUAAGUAAAUAAUUUAAUCACUGAUUGAGUGUUAAUAAAUAAAAAAGUAAAAAAAAUUAAAUCUUACACAUACACUACUACUAAAAGACACAUGACAAAAGAUUAUUUAAAUCUCAAUAAUAUUCAGAUCAUGAGAGGAUCUUGUUCCUACUAAUUACUUCAUCGUUAGGAUUUGUUCCUUAUUAAUUGCUUAGUUCUGAUACCAAAUGUUACGGAAACAAAUUAUUUACAACAAUAAAUCAAAUAAAAUAAAAAGAACAAGUAACAAAUGGGUUAAUUUGAGAAAACCAAAAAUUUCAUAAAUAUAUUUUUAGCACUUCAAGAGAGCAACUACCUCUCAAUACAACUAAUCAGUUGCCAAAUAAUAUUCCAAAUUUUUAUUAUUGAGUUUGAUACUAGUUUCAAUAUUGGUUUGCUAAUAAAACUUAAAACUAAAGAAUAAGAGUAAAACUAGACACUACUAGCCUUUACUAACACAAAUAAUUAGCUAAUUAACGAACUACUAAUUUACUAAGUCCAAGUACACCUUAAUCACAACCGUUAGGAUAAAUACAAUUUAAAAUCAAUAAAAAUAUAAGAUUGGAGAUCGUAAGUCGUAACAGACUUCUAAAGAGAGUCGAGAGAAAAACUUACUUGGGACAAUCCAAAAAAUACUACUUGCAUUUAUAUGACUGGCCAAUUUGAAAACAUAUGAAUGCUUAGCUGUCAAAAUAUAAAUGGAUGAGCACACCACGUGAAACGUGGGCUUCUCCCACCUAAAUACUUCUCAAUCUGAGUAGGGGGAAAUGUCCGAAGAGUGACUCCAAAAUCUGCUUCUUAUGCUAAAAACACAUGUAUGAAUACUCUGAAUGAAUUAACAGAAUUUUAUACAUGCCAAAACCAACUAAUCAUAUGUAAAAUUUAUUAGCAUGCGAUUGUAUGGAUCAUAGUCUUGAGGCAGCUUACAAGGAUAACAAAAUAAUAGUGUGAGGAAAUAAGUUGCUGAUGUACUGGGUUUAAAUGCAAGAUAUGAAGAAUUCUUGGGGCUAUAUGUAGAUCGACUUCAGUAGGAGGGAUCUUGUUGCAAAUUUAUGCUGAUGUGGCAGAAUUCGUUGAGAGUUCGUUAUGCCCUUUCCAGAAAUAUCAGAAUAAAAGGCACUUGUGACUAGCCUCUUAUAUCAGAUCGAUAUCUUCUUCAUUUCAUGUUCAUUUUGCUUGCAAUUUGGUUCUUUGUGAUCCUUAUAAUUUCUUUUUGUUAAUCAAUCUGUAAUCCGAUUGUUGAGAUCAAUAAAAGAGCAGUUUUUUCCUUCAUCAAUUUGUGUACUUGAAACUGUGCUCUGAGUCUGAUUCUUGUGAUUGCUUUCUUGUGUUGAUUAAUCUGGUCUGUUUCUUUCAAGUCUGAUUCAUCAAAGUUCUUCACGAAAUAACUUGUGUAGCUAUUAAAGGUUAUAACAAAUAGAAUGGUGCAAUAAAAGUACAAUAGCUGAUUCACUAAGGCUACAUAUAACCAGAGAAUAUGGUCAAUAAACUGGAAUAACCAACUGUUCUUGAAUCAAGUCCCUCCCCAGGGUUCUCAAGAACAAAACCAAUGAAGUUUGUCAGGACAGCAAUCCAUCAGCUGCAGUGACCCAGUGGUUCAACGGUGGUUCAUUCCAUCAUUUACAUGUAUAACAGAUUAUCUUCCGGUCUUGGCGCGUUUCAUUCCAGCACUGUUGAAGGGCCACAUGCUAGGACUCAUACUCGGACUCAUGCAUGGACUUUCUUCUCUUAGAGUACCAUUCAGCGUAGCAAAUUCACGCAAUUGUUGCUUCUUGUAAUGAUCCAAGGAUUCAUCCUGCAUAAAGAGAUUAGUUUGAACAAGCGGGAAUUAGGAGAGAUGCUGAAGGAAAGAAUAUCGACAAAGUUCACAGAAAAUACAAGAGUUUUUUUUGUUCAUACCACAGGCUUCAAAAGGUUCUCUAGUAUCGCUACAGCAUGAUCCAAGCGGGAAUUUAUUAUAUCCUCUGGAAAUUCGGCCUCCCCUAACACGUGCAGUGGCUCAUUAAGAUGCUCAUAUCCAGGUUUAUCUUUAAGUUUUUCUUCCUAAAGAACCAAAAAGUAAAGAAUUAUCAAGAGAAACCAAGAUGGUAUAAUAAUGUAAGGCAACAUCGAACAUUAGGAAAUACGAAGAAAUGGUUUGCUAAUGCAAGACGCACUCUCCCAUUUGUAGAACACAAAGAACAUGAAAUGAGUCUUGAUUUCCACUUAAUAGAUAAACUAGUAAUAAUAUAAAUUCAUUUCCAGUACAUAUGCCAUCAAUGUAAAACAAAACUACUCAAAAUAUCUAGCUACUCCUACCACAACGAAAGAAAACCACCAUAAUCAUACCAGUUGUCUCCACGAAAAAGAAUUAUGAGGGGCCCAAAAAAAAAAAAAAAAGCUAUAGUUCAUCUGGAAAUCAUUAUUCCAAAGCAACAUAAUUUAUAUGUGUGUAAUUUCAUGCUCAGUACAUCUUUCUCCAGUUAAAUCAAUCAGCAAAAUGUCACAAUCCUCCAUUGAAUAUCAUAGAACUACAUCAUGCAUGAUCAUAAGCAAAUCUAGUCAUACCAUGACCAGUAUCGGUACUAAACUACAAAUUAAAGCAUCUGAUAGAUUGUUACAUAAAACCAGGAUAAUUACAGUGCUAAUCAAAUAACCCGAAUUGCAGAUUCCCUAAUCAAACAAACAUAACAAAAAAAUCUGAAUUACAUUUUUUUUUUUUUUAACCAGAGAUGCACAUUGGCAGCGGAUAAAAUUGAGCAUGUCCUACAAGUUAACAUGGUCCUCCUUUAGCAAGGUCUAGAUGGGAAGGACCAUAGUAAAAAUAAGAGGAAAUACUUUACUUCAUCUAUAAAUCCUACAAUUUAGUUGCAAGUAAAAUAACUCCAAUCUAAAACAUCAAAUGCAUAAGAUUCACAAGGCAAAAGCAGCUUUAGCUAUUAAAAUUUCACAUUCUCAUGCUUUAAGUGUUCAAAUCCACUUUAGCUUGAUUAGAUUGAAUCAGCAACUUAUUCCAAAAUGCACAGCUUCACCACAUUAUGAUAGAUCAGGCCUUUAAAGAAUCCUCGACUGAACCCCGUCCUCUAAUGAACACCCUACAUUCUGUCAUGGCUUCAAUUCUUUUUGAGGGAGUUCCCAUGCGUUCCCAAAAUCCGGCCAACAAAAUUAAACUGCUGUGUGUUUAAGUUAGAAACUAUUAUUAUAAGGAAUUUAAAUAUAUCAAUAUAACUACCUUUUAAAUUGGAAAGCAAAGUUUAAACUUACAUUUGGAUAUUUAUCUACGGUAACAUCAAGUCUAAUAACUCUCUUCACAACAGGUGUGGUUGGAAUUCCGGGAACACCUAGCCCGCCCAUUGAAGGAGGAGUUUGAAAAAGGGGCCAUUUUUUGAAUAUGCCCAUUUUCCUGAAUCAAGGCAUCUAAUGAUAUAAGGAUUCCUCUCUUCAGAAUGAUAUAAGGAAUCCUUUCUUUUAUGCUUGAAAACUUUAUCAUCAAAUCCAAAACAGCACAUGAUUCUCAAACUCGAUGAAACAAUCAAGAGCCCUCUAAAAAGUGAUGUGCAAGAUCCAAAACAGAAAGCUUAGUCAUUUAAAAAAUAGCAUUCAGCUAUGAGCAAUAAUAACUUAAAUCUUAAACAUGGAUGUAAUUUAUCUUCAGCUGACAGCUAGACAUACGAGGCAAGUUCAAAGAACAUUUCUCUUUUAUACCCAAAAAAAAAAUAGCUGAACUAGAAGAUACUCUCAGUUGAUUAGAGAAUGAGUAUAUCGAUCUAUGUGUGACAAUUUACUUUAGGUAUACCAUAGAUUCUAACCUUUGUUACACUAAAAGAUGGUCAUCCCCUCAUUUAAAAGGAACAUAGCGAUUAGAAGAAAAGCAUACAGUCAGAAUUCCAAGAAAUUGCAAUAUAGAAUUUUCUGGCAUCAAUCUCACAAUUACAGGAUAAAAAUACAUGGCAAGUAUAAAACCGUGAACAGGCAUUAUUAGCUCAGUUUGCGUUGUAGAUGAACCCUCCAAAUCCAUUGGUCUUCCAUUCGGCUGACCUGAUGACCUAAAUGGACUAUCAUGCUCAAACCCUUCAUGAUCAACAAAACUUGGAUUGCAACCUGUCGUUUGUCUGAUUAGGUAUACCAUGUAAUAUAUACAACUGAAUCCAGGUAAUAACUAACUGUGCUACAAAUGUCAAUGACAAAUAAAGUUCCUAGUUUUUUCAAAAAACUGCCUAGGCAGUGCCCACCCCGCCACACAAGUAGUCCAGGUAAUUUGCUCACGCUGUUGCCAGCCAAAGAACCAUGAAGAGGAAAAGCUGCAAGGAGCCUUUGCCAGGUUGGUCAGGAAGGGCUUCAAUAGAGUGUAACAUCUCAGUAGCUCAAUUCAUGUACCCCUAGCUGUGCAUGUAAGAAGAAAUGCUCUUCUGAAUAAAGUAUUGAUACCAGAUCUACUGUUGUUUCUUCACAACUUGUUAGGAA